CUAAGUUCAAAUUGAAAGCCGGGUGGAAUAGCUCUGUCUUACAGGCCCUGCGGAAGGAAGUUAAAUCCUGCAGGGCCCUGGUCUCAUGGGACAGAGCAUUCCACCAGGUGGGAGCCAUCACUGAGAAGGUCCUGGCCCUGGUGGAGGAUAAUAUACCAUCUUUUCCUCCAAGAAGCUCAAGAUGUUGAACAUGGUUCUCUCCUCCCUGUUUUAUCCUGACAACGACCCUGUGAGGUAGGUUCGGCUGAAAGACAGUGAUCAGGCCAAGGUCACCCAUUGAGUUUCAUGGCUCCUUCUGUGCCCCACAUAUGCAGCUAUUAAAACGCCCAAGAGCUUAGCCAGUAAAAAAUAAAUGAGGGGGGUGGGGAGUGAUGUCAAUAAUUAGAGUAUUUUUUCCCCCACUUUUCUUUACAUGCUGGAAAUUCUAACACAUUUGUCAUCAGAUGGGGUGUGUGACUAAAUUAAUAGUAACACUUUUAAUGUCAGAUUGAAUGCAAUGCCAACAGAUGCCAUUGGAGGUAUGAAUGAAAUGCAGAUAGCUGCGAAAGAUUUUUCUUUUUUUUAAAAAAAAAAAAGGAAUACAUACAUAUUUAAAACAUUAAAGCUGCCAUUACAUAUUUUAACAGUAUCGCCAGUUCUCUGCAAAUUGUCUCAUUUGAGUAAUCUCUCUAUUCCUGGAAUAUUAAAAAGGUGUCACAGCUGUGGAAUGUAGAUCGAGGGAACAACGGGGAGCGAACAGGAGGUGCGAAAAGAUUUUAUUUUAUUUUAUUUAAAAAAACCAAUUUCUAAUCUGAGCUGUAGACAGCUUUCUACCUCCCACAGUGUAGGCAGAACAUAACCCAUUCGCGGCUAGUAGCGGUUGAUAGCCCUUCUCCUCCAUAAAUUUGUCUACUUCUCUUUCAAAGCCACCCAGCUGGGUGGACAUCUCAUAGCUGAACUAUGCUCUGUGUGAAUCACAGAAUAUAGAGUUGAAAGGGACCCCGAGGAUCAUCUAGUCCAACCCCAGCAAUGCAGAAAUAUUCUGCUGUCCCAUACAGGGAUUGAACAUGCAACCUUGGCAUUAUCCAGGCCAUGCUCUAACCAACUGAGCUAUCCAGGCUGUUCCCCAGAAGUCCUUUAAGUGCCUCCCCUGUGGUCUGAUUCACUAUGACAAAUCCCCAUGCUUCAGUAGCUGAGUCGGUAAAGCACGAGACUCUUAAUCUCAGGUCCGUGGGUUCGAGACCCACGUUGGGGAACUAGAUUCCUGCAUUGCAGGGGGUUGGACUAGAUGACCCUCAGGGUCCCUUCCAACUCUACAAUUCUAUGAUUCUAUGUUCCUAUUUAAAUGUGCCCUUCAUCCAGAACCAUGAGGACUAGAACCCUGAUUUAUUUUUAGAGGAAGGUUUGUAGUUUUGGUUCCACAGCCAUUCCUUUGAAAGUUUUUUUCUCCCUUGACUUUCUUUGUUAUUUCCCCUCUCCUUUUUUUCUAGAUUUAUUCCAUUCUGCUGGUAGAAAACACUGAACCUCAGAGACAGGAAGGGAAAUCAGUAUAUUUUGCUUUAGGGCAGGCAUCCCCAAACUCGGCCCUCCAGAUGUUUUGGGACUACAACUCCCAUCAUCCCUGACCACUGGUCCUGUUAGCUAGGAAUGAUGGGAGUUGUAGUCCCAAAACAGCUCAAUAUGUCAAGAUCCAGAUGGGGCACAAAGCCGCGCAGCUCCCCCACUCACUGGGGCGCCCCUGAGAGGCCAGGGCCCUGGCGCAAUGCGCCAGUAAGCCCAAUAGGAAAGACGGCUCUGCCUGUGGGAAACCCAAAAUCAGGACCUGAGCACAACAACACUCUUCCCUCCUGUGGUUUCCAUCAGCUGGUAUUCAGAAGCAUGACUGCCUUCAACCACAGAGUACAGUCAUCAUGGAGAGUAAGGGUCAGUUAUCAGUUAACUCUAUCCAUCUGCCACUGUCUGUCUGUCUGUGAAGCCCGGAAGUCAUGAUUCCUGCUCAUCGCUGCUCUAGUUUGUAUUGGGCACGUUGUAGUGUGGCAGAAUGCCUUGCCACUGGCUUCUAUACUCAUGGUUGGACCGGUCAUUAGGAUCCCACAAUAUUUGACGGAGCACUUCCUGGAAGUACGAUAGCAGCUUUCAAAGCGUUGAGAACUUCAGAGUAGACGGUGCUUCAAAGAGAACUGAUAGUUGUGUCAUUUGUUUACAUCGCAUCGACUUCCCUUUUUAGUUUUAUUUCUUGGCUUUGAUGGGAAACUUGUGUGCUUUAAUCUACGCUGGAAAAAUUCCAGGGAAGUCUGAAAGGGUUUGAGGAGAAAUUGCUGUGCAGUUUCCAGGAUGGGGGGAAAAGAAACUUUAGAAAUACCCUUGACCGGGAGUAGUCAAUAUAGUGCCCUUCAGAAGGUGUUGACUACAACCCCCAUUGUCCCUGACCAGAGGCCAUGCUUGCUGAGGCUGGUGGGACUUGUAGUUCCAAGAACAUCUGGAUACAUCGUGUUAGCUACCCCGGAAUUAUACAAUGAAAUGUAUAUUUUGUUCUUUCAUGCUCAGAAACAAGUCCUGUUGAUAUAAAUAGAAUACCAUUAUCAGUAGAUAUUGACAUCAGGUAAACACUUUCCUGAUUGCCCAAUAGUCGGAGUAAAGGUAAAGGACCCCUGACAGUUAAGUCCACUCACAGACAAAUCUGGGGUUGCGGAGUUCAUCUCGUUUUACAGGCCGAGGGAGCCGGCGUUUGUCUGCAGACAGUUUUCCAAGUCAUGUGGCCAGCAUGACUAAGCCGCUUCUGGCGCAACGGAACACUGAAACCAGAGCAGUGCAUGGAAAUGCCGUUUACCUUCCUGCCAGAGUGGUACCUAUUUAUCUACUUGCACUUUUUGGUGUGCUCUCGAACUGCUAGGUUGGCAGGAGCUGGGACCAAGCAAUGGGAGCUCACUCCGUUGCAGGGAUUUGAACCGCCAACCUUCUGAUCGGCAAGCCCAAGAGGCUUAGUGGUUUUUUGUUUUUUUUAAAUAAAAUAUUUAUUGAAAUUUUACGAUAAACAUAGAUUUAAAGAAUUAAAAAAAAAAGUUAAACCAAAAAUUACAGAGAGAGAGAAAAAAAAACAAAAGCUAACAAGAAAAAUAAGAAAAAAGAGACCUAAAAAGGAGAAAAAAAAGAAAAAAAAGGAUGAUACAAAAUACAAAAAACAGAUAGCUAAAAAAAUAGAGGGAAAAGAAAGAGAAAAAAUAUUUUAAAGAAGAAAAAGUCCAUUUUUCUUUUUUUUCUUUUUUUAAAGAAUAUUUAUUCCAAUUUUAAAGUUACAUAGAAAGAAAAAAGCAAAAAAAGAAAAACAAAUCACAUACACCCUACAAAAAAAAAAGAAUAACACACAAUACAGAAAAAAAAUACAAAAGACAAAAAAUCACAAUCCAAAAAUAACAAAAAAAUCAAGUUAAGCCAUUAAGAUCAUUUUCCCAUUUACUUAUUUCCAAGACUUCCUCUCACUUCUCUGCUUUGUAUUCUAAUUUAAAUCAUAUCUCCAGCAAACCCUUCUAACCUUCUUUUCAUUUACUUAAUUUAACAUUCAAAAAUAUUUAAUUCUCCUCUAUUUUUUAUUUUACACUACAUAUUUACUUAUUCCAUUAUACUCUGUCUGCCCAUACGGUCUAAUGUUCUUCUCCAACCUUUUCUAACAUUCUUUUAUAUUACAGUAUUUCUGAAGAUAUGUUUUACAUUUUUUCCAAUCUUCUUCCAUCGACCCUUCUUCUUGAUCUCAUAUUCUGCCGGUCAUCUCAGCCAGUUCCAUAUAGUCUAUCACUUUUCUCUGCCAUUCUUCUCGGGUAGGCAAUUCUUGUGUCUUCCAGUAUUUCCCAAUAAGUAUUCUUGCCGCUGCUGUCGCAUACAUAAAGAAAUUCCUGUCUUCCCUUCGCACCAAUUGGCCGACCAUGCCCAAGAGGAAGGCCUCUGGUUUCUUCAGAAAAGUAUAUUUCAAUACCUUUUUUUAGUUCAUUAUAUAUCAUUUCCCAGAAGGCCUUGAUCUUUGGGCACGUCCACCAAAGGUGAAAAAAAGGACCUUCAUUUUCUUUACAUUUCCAACAUUUAUUAUCAGGCAGAUGAUAAAUUUUUGCUAGCUUGACUGGGGUUAAGUACCACCUGUAUAUCAUUUUCAUUAUAUUUUCUCUUAAGGCAUUACAAGCCGUAAAUUUCAUACCUGUGGUCCAUAACCGUUCCCAGUCAGCAAACAUGAUAUUAUGCCCAACAUCUUGCGCCCAUUUAAUCAUAGCAGAUUUAACCAUUUCAUCCUGUGUGUUCCAUUUCAACAGCAGAUUAUACAUUCUUGACAAAUUUUUAGUUUUAGGUUCUAACAAUUCCGUUUCCAGUUUAGAUUUUUCCUCCUGGAAACCUAUCUUUUUAUCUAAGUUAAAGACCUCCCUUAUUUGAUAAUAAUGCAGCCAAUCUCGAACUUUAGUUUUUAAUUUGUCGAAGCUCUGCAAUUUUAAUUUAUCUCCGACUUGUUCUAAAAUUUCGCCAUAUUUUGGCCAAUUUGUCUCCAUGUUUGUUUUUUUCAGAGCCUUAGCCUCCAUUGGUGACAGCCACCUUGGUGUUUUACUUUCCAACAAAUCCUUAUAUCUCACCCAGACAUUGAAUAAUGCUUUCCUGACAAUAUGAUUCUUGAAGGCCUUAUGCGCUUUAACUUUGUCAUACCAUAAAUAUGCAUGCCACCCAAACACAUUAUCGAAGCCUUCUAAAUCUAAAAUGUCCACAUUUUCAAGAAGUAGCCAAUCUUUCAGCCAGCAAAAAGCGGCUGAUUCAUAGUAAAGUUUAAGAUCUGGCAGGGCAGAAAAAGUCCAUUUUUCAAUGUCUUUAGGCUCAUUUACUUAUUUCCUUGACCUCCUCACACCUCCCCUUUUUGUAUUCCCGUUUACAAAGUCAUUUCAGCAAAUCCUUACCCUCUUUCAUUUAUCUUUACUCUGUAUCUUAACCUAUUAUAACUAUAUAUUUUCAUCCAUAUAACUAUCAAUAUUUACAUAUUCUUAUUAACCUUAUUACCAAAACCACUUAUUUUCAGUCCAACAUCAUUUUAACAUUCAUUAAUUUUACAGUAUUUCUGCAAAUAGUCUUUAAACUUCUUCCAAUCUUCUUCCACCGACUCUUCUCCCUGGUCUCGGAUUCUGCCAGUCAUUUCCGCCAAUUCCAUAUAGUCCAUCACCUUCAUCUGCCAUUCUUCCAGAGUGGGUAAAUCUUGUGUCUUCCCCAAGAGGCUUAGUGGUUUAGACCACAGCGCCACCUGCAUCCCUCUAAUAGUAGGAGCAGGAGUAGGAAUGGAAUUAUGUAGGCAAAUUUUCUUUUGUCAGCAUUCUGGGAUUUAAUUUUGUCUCGAAUUUUGCUAUUCUUCUUUGUUGGCUUUAAAUUUUAUGUCCUGUGAAUUAAUUAUAAUUGAAAAAUGUAUUUAAAUAAAGAAAAGCAGAAGUCGGGACUCGGUUCAGAGGCUUAGGAGAACCUUUAUGAAUAAGUUUACUUAGCAAACUUAAGCUUUUCUUUGCCAGCUCAUAGGUGAAGGGGAGCAAUGAGAGCUUAUGGUUCUUAUGUGUUCAGGACUGAAUAGCUAUUAUUGUGAGUCCAGGAGGAAGCACACAGGCAGGCGAUGCUACUCCCACAGCAAUAUCAAUGCCCUAAAAUAAAUAAAGACGUCAUCUGUCUCUAGGUAACCUCUGCUAGCCCAUUCCAAAGCAAUGACCCUUCAUCCCUCCCUGCAAACACCCUCUCAGCAGAUGAGUUAGUCUGAGCCCCUUCCAGCAGGAUGUGUGGCUCAUGUCUGAAGCCACUAUCCAGUGUCUCCUAGAAACAAACAUCCCUCCCCAAAACUUAAAAGCUAUCGUACCAUUUUGAAAAAUGCAGCAAGGCCACACUGGCACCAUGCAUUUAAAGCAGUGCCAUGCUGCUUUGAACAACUAUGGCUCUCCCUGCAAAAGAACCGCAGCUUGUUAAGAGUGCUGAGAGCUAUGAGGACACCCCUCACAGUGACAAUUCCCAGAACCGUGACAAUGGGAGGGGAAAUAGGGUCUCCCUAGCAACUCCCAGCGCCCUCAAUAAACUGUUGCUCCCAGGAUUCUUUGAUCUGACUGUUCAAAGGGGAGGAAGAGUGUUUUAAAGGUAUAGUGCAGAUGUGGCCAAUGCAAUUCUGAACAGCGUGCUUUUUUAAAACAACAACAAUACGUGAAUACUCUUAAUCCAGCAGUUUGGGUGUGACCUCAUCAAACAGAUGCAAAUAAAUGAAAACAGAGUCUGCCUUUUGAAAGGAAACAGCCAUCACCUGCAGCCAGACCCUCACAUUUAUCUCUAUCAUAAGAGGUGAGGCACAACCCCCUUGAAAGGGUUCCUGCCUUCCCUACUGCCUAAUUGAUGACUUGCUUUGGCAGUUCUUCCAUUGCCUUCUUCUUGCCAAUCCUCAAGUCUCCACCAAUUGCUCUCUCCCCUUUUCCAUCUUUCUUCCUCCCUUCCCAAGAGCCAAUGUUAUCUGUGACCCAAGAAGGAGAUGGGCCCGUCUAGUUUCUCCCCCUGCACAUUUGCCCUGCCUUAAGUUCCAUUCGGUCCAUUUUAGCACCGGUCUGUACUCUACAGACACAUUUCCUCCUAAAAUAUAUACCUGCCCAGCCGCCAUCCCUGUGUUAUGUAUCAGGGGCUCCAUGGGCUCCAUGGGGAUCUGGCACGGUUUGGCAGCCCUGGAUGGAUGAGAAAGAAGGAGAUGGAACAGAGACAGGGGACUUGAAGGCUGGCACCCAAGGAUAGAGGACAGAAGCUUUCCCCUUCUCACUCUGAUGGGGAACCCAAUUCUCAUCACUGCCCUUCCUGCAGAAUGCAGAGCAUCGUCAGUGUGGAAGGACUUCAUCCAGCCUGUCGGAGUGACUGGGCAAAGUCAGAAUCAGAGGAGCAGGAGGCAGGUUUGCUGUCGAGAACCAGGUGCUGUCUUUGUAGAUGGGAGCAGGUACCCCAAAGAAGGAUAUCUGCACAUGCGACAUCCCCAUGAAAUGAGGGAGUCUUGCGAGUGAGGUCGCCAUGCCUUGUAUUUAAAAGUUGGGCUGGAGGGGCGUAUCGCACGUUGGGACAUCUUCAUUGCUUCCCUUCAGCUUGUGUUGCUCGUGUGCUUUGGAAUCAUGACUUUAGGACCCUGAGUCUGUACCAUUAGUAACCUGUAUAAACAGCUCAUUCUUACAAGCACAUUCUUCAUUACAGUCCAAAGACCCGACGAAACCAUUUUGAAAGCAAAAUAUAUCAGAUAUACAGGGAAAACAUUGCUAGGCAGUCAUUGCUUUAUAUCUAAAGCGUGUUGAUUUCUAAUUAUUAUUACCUCUGAGAGGAAUUUUGACACAGCCAGGGUUAUAUCACUUAUCUUAUCGUCAAGGAGAUAUCUGAGAUAAAAAAUACCUGACUUUCCAGAUAAAUUUACCAAUAAAGGUUUGAUUAAUUGGUUCCUGGCUUGUUCAUACAGCCCACAGCUUACACACAAGUAGGAGCCUCUGUUGUUGUGUUGGAGACUGUCCGAUGAGAUACUUUCCUUUGCCUUGCCUGUGUGGCUUCACCUCAAACUACCCAGGUAAAGGAAGUGGACUUUGCCCUCACUGAUAAUAAGGAUUGGAAUUCGAAUGGAGGUGGGUGGAAUAUUGGAUGUCUGUAUAACUAUCAUAGGUUGAUGGUCCAGCUGCCAGCAUCAUAUUUCACAUGUAACUACUACAAAUGGACCUCCAAUCAAUGUCAACGUGAGCAUUAAUGCAAUUCUGGCAUGCGUGUGUUUAUUGGUACGUUGUUAUAGCCUUGGUGGCACUGAAUUUAUUAGCGACGUGGUUUAUUGCUGCGUGAUUUACUCCCAAGCCCUGAUGGAAUGUGAAGUCAUUGCUCUUAAUAACCAUUUAGUGCACAUAAUGUAACGCACAUUCCUUUCUGUUCAAGUGCUCCUGUUCUGCAUUUCGUCGGAAGUGACAGGAUCCCUGGGGGAGGGCACGAGGGGUGGGCAGAGAGAAAUUCAUCUCCAUUUUUGCUGGUGCAGGAAGUUAAAAUGAAUGAAACUGCAAAGCUAUCCCUUUGGGUUGCAUUAGAAAUAACAAAGGGCUCACAAUAUAUGGGCUUUUCUUAGUGCAGGGAAGUGUUAUAAGGAAAAAAAACUGCUCCUUUUCCCCUUAUGGGGUACCCAAGAGCCCAUACAGAGUCCUUAUGUAGGUUCUCUAUCGGUAGGAGAAAAUAACAGAAGCCAACCAGAGACUAUUGAGAAGCAAAGCAGCUAGUAAGCCCGAUCUUUAUUAAACUGUUGCAACAGGGUGUUCACACAGACACCACGCAGGAGGGAGGAGGAACCCAGAACAAUGGUGCGCAACCCCUUAUAUAGACUGUUGAAAUUGCCACCCUGUAGCUCAAGACCACCCCCCAAUACAUCAUACAUACAUCACAGAAGGAGCAGUCUGCAGCAGAAUCCUGUGGCAGGAAACCUGUUAAUGGGUUUACCUGGACAGCCUGGCCAUUCUUUUGUGAUGAUAAAUCAUGGGUAGGCAAACUAAGGCCCAGGGGCUGGAUCCGGCCCAAUCACCUUCUAAAUCCGGCCCGCCGACGGUCUAGGAAUCAGCGUGUUUUUUACAUGAGUAGAAUGUGUCUUUUUAUUUAAAAUGCAUCUCUGGGUUAUUUAUGGGGCAUAGGAAUUCGUUCUCCCCCCCAAAAAAAUAUAGUCCAGCCCCCCCCCCAAGGUCUGAGGGACAGUGGACCGGCCCCCUGCUGAAAAACUUUGCUGACCCCUGUGAUAAAUACUUAAUUCCUGAGUCCAGGUCACAGGCUCACCGUAGAACUCAGUCUAAUAAUUGGCUUGAGAUCUCUCUCUCUCUCUCUCUCUCUUUCUCUCUUUCUCUCUUUCUCUCUCUCUUUCUGCUGUCGUAACAACUUCCUGUUGUAAUGGUGAAGACAGAGGCUUCAGUUGCACCAAAUCUCAACCCCAUGAUUUAUUUGGAUUAUGAAGGCACAGCCACAGGAAAUAUGAAAUCAAAUGCCACUCCAAAUUCUGUCAUGUUGGGCAGAUGAUUCUAGGUUUGCCUUCUUCAUGAGAGUUACCACACUUCCCUUCACAAAAUGACAAAGGACUGACCACCCUUUAUUCAUGAAAACCAACUUUUAUGCAGUUUUAGGACUACAAUACCCAUAAGGCAGUGUGACUGUGAACCAAUUGCACAUAUGUAAGCACACUGGAGGCCUAUACUUGAAGCAUCUAAAUACUGUAUGUGACGGCAUAAAUAAGCAGUGCUGGAAUACAAAAAAAAAGCUUACAGGAGGUAGGAAAAUGUUGUUCCUCUCGCUAAAGGCGGGGGGAAUAAGACCCAGGUAACUACCAACCAGUCAAUUUGAUGCUGUUAGAAGGAAAGGUCCCAGAAUUAAAUUAAAUUAAUUAAGAAGUCAGUCUGUGAGCGCUUAGAAAAGGAUGCUGUGAAUACUAAAACCUAGCAUGGGUUUCUCAAAAGCAAGUCAUGCCAGAAGAAUCUCAUUUCUUUACAGGGGGUUGGACUAGAUAAUCCUCAGGGCCCCUUCCAACUACAGUGGUACCUCAGGUUUCAGAUGCUUCAGGUUACAGACUCCGCUAACCCAGAAAUAUUACCUCGGGUUAAGAACUUUGCUUCAGGAUGAGAACAGAAAUUGUGAAGCAAUGGCACGGCGGCAGCAGGAGGCCCCAUUAGCUAAAGUGGUACUUCAGGUUAAGAACAGUUUCAGGUUAAGAGCGGACCUCCAGAACGAAUUAAGUUCUUAACCCGAGGUACCACUGUAUACAGUUCUAUGAUCCCCACAGAGAUCUGUUACUCUUAGCCAGGAGCACAGAUUUCAAGGUGGAAGCCCACCUGCCUGCCCCAUAUAUACACUUAUGCAUAUACUUUAUAUACCGUGGGCAGUUUCUUCAUGUCUGCUCUAAAUGUACAUAAACUGAUGUCAUUUUAACAUACCAUUUGUUUGGGAAAUCUUGAAACCUCCCAGCUUUUUAGAGCCUUUGUAUGAAACAUAAUAAAGGAAGAACUGAGAGGUGGGUUCUUUCUUCUCCCAUUCAUCAAGUCAGCCCUGGGAUAGUUAAUUGUCAGGGUCAUUAUGGACUCUUGCACUGUUUUGUUCCUUGCUUGAAUUUGCAUUAUUCCUCAACAGAGAGAGAGAGAGAGAGUGAGGGAGAAAUGGUGGACAUCUCAGAGCAAAGAACCAGUGUCAAGCUCAUAAAGAGACAAUGCCUGUUUCCAUAGAAUCAUUUGUUCGUUCCCCUGGUGGCUGAAUGCCACAGAUGCGAACUUUGGUUACUAGGUAACCAUGCUGUAUCGACCAAUGGCAGAGGAGAGUUUACCAAACUUACUCAGUUUAUAUCUGAGGGAUGUGUUUCUUUUGUUCGAUGGGUCUUCAGGGGGAGAUCAUUCUUCCCUCGCACAUCUCGAUUUCCUUUUAGAUCGGGGCUGAGCUGAAAGGGGGCUCCGUUCCAUCGGCAUCGAGAGAUGACCCCCUUUUGGAAAGUUGUCAAGGACAUUUGCAAAACAGGACGGAAGUGUCCACCCAAUCAUAAAACAGGGCUCUGAACAUGCUUCACUUGUCUCUGGUUAAGCCAUCACUUCCCUGCUGGCUAGGAUCACCCAUGCAACCAGUCCUUGUAGUUUUUACCUUCACUCUGAAGCCGCUUUGUUUGCUCUCAGUGAGGUCACCGUGUACCCAGGUCUUGAUUGGCUAUGAAGUGCUGCAACAUCAUAUGUACACAGGGCCAGAUUUAGGUGUGAUGAAGCCCUAAGCUACUGAAGGCAGUGGGGCCUUUUAUAUGUCCAUCUGUUCUUUGUCAACAACAAUUGUCACAGUUUUUUUGUGUUGAAUAUUUGCCUUGUGGUAAUUUAUGGAACUAAUAGGUAUCUAAAGCCAUUUGCACAUGCAGAAUGUAGGCACCCUAUAUAUAAAGGUAAAGGGAUCCCUGCCCAUUAGGUCCAGUCGUGACCGACUCUGGGUUUGCGGCGCACAUCUCGUUUUAUUGGCCGAGGGAGCUUCUGGGUCAUGUGGCCAGCAUGACAAAGCCACUUCUAUAUAUAGAAAUGGGCAAACCAGUGAUAUUUUAGGGAGCAGGCUAGCAGGCGAGGCCCAUGACUUACAUCAUAGGAGCCUACACAACACAAAACACUGUUGCUGUAUGUAGGUUUUAUUUUAUUUGUUUUUUAUCUUAUAUUUUGGAAAUGUACAUCCAGUUCCCCCCCCCUUUAAAUCUCUUGGGUCCCCAAGCUAUAGCUUGUUUAACUUAUACAUAAUGUACACCAUGAUCCCUGAGUGGCUCUGUGAAAGAAGCCUGACUAGGAGGGUGGAAGUCCGAAAGCAGUAGAAGAUAAGGGGAAAUCCAUAGCCUAUUAUGAGCUGAGCCCAAACUCCUCCUAUAUUCAGGCCUAGCUUGACACACACACACACACACACACACACACACAUACACACACACACACUGCUUUCUGUCAGGUUCCUGCUUCCUAAGCAAACUUGCCUUUGCAAGGAGGCAGGAGAAUGGGCAGCAAUAUCCAAGUAUUCUCAAGGGUUUUCCUAGAAAUCUCAAAAAGUGCCAAAAUAUGUUUAAAAUGCAUCAUUUAGGACACAAUGCAUUUAGAAAGGCAUGCAAUGAGAUGGUAUAUGCAUUUGAAUAACUAUUUUGUGAUAAAAUACAUGUUUUAUCACAUAAUUAAGGAUGUAUUUAUAGAUUAAGGGGUCAGUUUUAUGGCAUGUUUUGCCAGGAUGUGCAACAUAUGAUCCGGCGGAUCUCCAGCUCAGGCUGCUGAUUCCUGGCUCAGCUGGCAUUAAGUCCCCAUCCCUGGCUCAGCCAGAGACAUGUCAGCAUAAUUUAUUCAUCCCAGCUCAGUUGGGGCUCAGUCAUUUGGUCCAAAGCUGGUUUAGCUGAGACCAAUAUAUGUCUCCAAAACAGGCAUUCUGGGGUGCAUUACUAAGCUGGCUCAGCUCAGUCAUGUGAUAUGGGAACCUGGUACAGAGCUUUGUUUUCCUCACCUGCUUAACAGGGUUUGGAUAUGAUGUAACUUUGUGCCAGCUUUGUGUGCGUAGAAUGGGUCCUUUAAUAUGGCAAAUCAGGCAUAUGAAUAAACACAGGUGGAAGUGACAUGGACUAGAAACAAUUUGAUCCACCCAUCCCUACAAGUUCUCAGUUUCCUUUUCACUGCUAGGGAUGGGCAGAUUUGUCAAUUUCAGUCUUUCUAAGUUCGUCAUUCCCACCCCCAUCAAAUUCAUUCCUGCACAUUUCUGCAGCAAUUUGUCUCCGUGAAAAUCUGUCAGCAUUUUAGAGCACAUUUCUCCCAAGAAGCCCAUUUUUUAUUUUAUUUUUAUUUUUUGCUUUUAGGUCUACAUACUUUUGCAAGCAGUUUCCCCUAAAAUAAUGCAUCCUUGCAUGCUAUUUUCAUGCAUUUUUAGUCACACAUCUCCCAAAUAUUUGUAUUUUGGUGCAUGCUGUUCAGUUGGGGAACUGCACUGGAAAACUCAGAGAAGUGCGACUUCCAGAAGAUCGAUAAGCUGAAGUUCCCAUGUUCCUUUGGGAAGUACAAAUAAGGUAGCUUCUCAUUAGAAUGCAGCAAAAUCAAAUUCAUGCCCCAUUCCUGUUCAUUGGCCGUCAAUGUUUCUUCAACACUACCCCAUCUACUCUGCAGUGCAUUGAAGUGCCUGGUUUUGUUGAUGGCAAGAUGAAGCCUUGGUUUUAUUACACACCUGUCAGUGAGACGCUGAACAGAAAACAGAAGAACCAAAUUGGUGUUUUGCCAAUAAUAAACAUGCAAGGUGUUUCUGCUCUUGAUAUCAAAGAGGCGAAAUGAUUUAAUAGAGAGUUUUGCCAUUGCAGAUGUUGUGCUACGUGACCAAGGCUGCAAUGCUCAGUCUUCUGUGGCUAUAAACAAUCUGUCCUUCAGCAAACAUCUUCUUUUGCCAAGAGGCCAUGGUUGUCUACUUCAGUGUAUUUAUGCAAUGCAGAUGAACAAUAGGAUAAAAACUACAUUUAUAUGGCAGUUUCGGACAUUCGUUACAAAAACUCUGUUACAGUGGUACCUCAGGUUACAUAUGCUUCAGGUUACAUACACUUCAGGUUACAGACUCCGCUAACCCAGAAAUAGUGCUUCAGGUUAAGAACUUUGCUUCAGGAUAAGAAUAGAAAUCAGGCUCCGGCGGCACGGCGGCAACAGGAGGCCCCAUUAGCUAAAGUGGUGCUUCAGGUUAAGAACAGUUUCAGGUUAAGUACGGACCUCCGGAACGAAUUAAGUACUUAACCUGAGGUACCAUUGUAUUAGGAAACAGUAGCUGAGUUUUAUUUUGUAUUCCUCUACCCUCCCAAUCUUUUCCCCCUUUCAUGUUGUGUGUUUUAGAUUCCAAGCCAUAAUAAUAAUAAUAAUAAUAAUAAUAAUAAUAAUAAUAAUAAUUUAUUAUUUGUACCCCACCCAUCUGGCUGGGUUUCCCCAGCCACUCUGAGCAGCUUCCAACAAAGAUUAAAAAUACAUUAAAAUGUCACAUGUUUAAAAAUUCCCUAAACAGGGCUGCCUUCAGAUGUCUUCUAAAUGUCAGGAAGUUGUUUAUUUCUUUGACAUCUGAUGGGAAGGUGUUCCACAGGGCGGGUGCCGCUACCGAGAAGGCCCUCUGCCUGGUUUCCUGUAGCUUUGCUUCUCGCAGUGAAGGAACAGCCAGAAGGCCCUCGGCGCUGGACCUCAGUGUCCAGGCAGAAUGAUGGGUGUGGAGACGCUCCUUCAGGUAUACUGGGCUGAGGCUGUUUAGGGCUUUCAAGGUCAGCACCAACACUUUGAAUUGUGCUUGGAAAUGUACUGGGAGCCAAUGUAGGUAUUUCAGGACCGAUGUUAUAUGGUCUGUCACUUUCUUACCACAGACAUUUCUAAGCUGCUGUGGAAGCCUCUCUUUUGGACAAAGAGUCAAAUAUAAAUGUUUGGGUGGGAGGGCAGAAGUAAUAAAGAACACCAUGAAUUUAUUUCUGUCUAUAUAAUAAAAAUGUAAGAAUGUUAUCAUCCAGCCUACACUGGAGGAUUGGUAGUGCUUCAUCACAGUCCUAGAUUUACAUGAAGUAAGGGAACGAAAAUUAAGCCAGGUUGCACAACAGCAGCAGUCAUGGCAUGUGAGCAAGAUGGUAGGGAUACAGUGGUGCCUCGCAAGACGAAAUUAAUCCGUUCCGCGAGUCUCUUCGUCUAGCGGUUUCUUCGUCUUGCGAAGCAACCCUAUUAGCGGCUUAACGGAUUAGCGCUAUUAGUGGUUUAGCGGCUAUUAAAGGCUUAUCAGUUUAGCGGAUUAGCUGCUAAAAGGCUAUUAAAGGCUUAGCGGCUUAGAUAAAGGGGGGGGAAGCGAAAAAAAAAUCUCAAGACUCGCAAGACAUUUUCGUCUUGCGAAGCAAGCCCAUAGGGAAAUUCGUCCUGCGAAGCAACUCAAAAACGGAAAACCCUUUCGUCUAGCGGGUUUUCCGUCUUGCGAGGCAUUCGUCUUGCGGGGCACCACUGUACUGAGAGAGGAAAAGUGAUGGGACAUUUGAGGGCUCCGCAUCCUUUAUCUCUUUCACAUAAGGCAGCUGAGAAAUGGACAAGGAAACACUUUGACUACAGUGAGAAGGAAGAGGCACUGAAAGGAAACAGAGCGGCUGUUGUAAACAAUGGCAGAAGUCUGAGCAAAAUGUGGGGUGGAGGAACACUGAGGGGUGGGGAACGGUGAUUUUAAACGGUGGCAGAAGUCUGAGUAAAAGCAGAGAUGGAGGGUCACGGAGGGGAAAAAUGUGAUUUUAAACAACUGCAGAGAUUUGAGUAAAGCAGGGUUGGAGUGAUACCGAGAAGGAAAAAGUGGCUUUUAAACAAUGACAGAGAUUUGAAUAAAGCAAGGGGGGAUAGCAGGGGGAUUGGUGGGUGGAGAAAGCAGGGGUGCAACCCUAAUACUUAAAAUAUGUGUAAACUGCCUUUAUAUAUAAAGCCCACUCGAGGCAGCUAGCAAAUUAACAGGUAAAGCUAUUGUUUAUAACAAGUAUUAUAUUCAUACCUGUUUCAGUUAAUCUAGUUCAGGAGACCCAACAUGGCGUCCUCCAGAUUUUGCCAGAUGCGAACUCCCAUCCUUCCCCUGACCUUUGGAGUCCCACAACAUCUGGAGGUCCACAAAUUCCCUGUCAGGCUUCAGAGAAUUGGCUCCCCCACCGCCCCGCUCCAGUGGCAGUAGAUAAGAAGAACAAAGGGAAAUGGGUCUUCUUACCAGUUAGAAACUUUAAUAAUCACAGCAAGAGAACAAAGAACCCAGCUCCUAGAAAUGGCAGUGCUCCUAAUUAAGGAUUCCACCCCUUACAUCCCUGUUAAUCUACGCCUCUUCUACGUCUUGUAAUCUGAGCUUGUUCCCUCUGUGUUUUGUGUCCUUUCUGCUCUGCCACUUUCUGAGCUCUUCUUGACCUCGGGGAGAGCGGAUGAAUGCUUUCCAGGGACGGUGAAUCUGUUAACCCUCUCUCUUUCAGUGUUUCUUCUCCUAGUUGUUCCCUAUUCAGUUGUGCUGGGCCCAGGGGUGCCCCUUGAAAUGUGGUCCAGGACCAGUCCAGAAUCCAGAAGUUCUGUUAGGAGUCAGUCCAACAGGGCUGAGACAGGAAACCAGGUAUGCCAGAACCCAGGCAGGAUGUGGCAUACAGCAAUGUUGCUCCCGCAACCUGGGGCAGGGUCCAUCAGCCUUUUAUCUUUGUCGGGGUAUUGGCCGGUCCUGAUCCCCCGGCGACUCACCUCCCUGUUUCACCCAAAGGCGAACACUCCUCCUGCAAGUACUCAGGUCUCUCCUUCUCUCAGACCUUAGUCUCUGCAGCUCGGGAGACGUCGGUGGGUUACUAGACCCAGGAGCCUUCUCAGCCUCUCCUGAUCCAUCUGGUAGUGGAGCAGCUGUAAGUGAUGGCCCAGCUGAAGGCAAUGAGGUAAUCCCCGCAUCUGGAGCCAGGGCAGGCUCAGGCCAGCUGGUGUUUGUUGCAGGGGAACCUGUGCAGACUGGGACUCUUCAGGAUCAAGCCCCAGACUUGGUUCAGAUGAUGCCUGAGGCAAAGGAUCCAGUGCAAACUGAGUCUCCUCUGGUUCUGAGUCUGAGCUCCAGUCCCAGGCCACCACACUAGUAUUUCCCAGCUUUGCCUUCUGAACUAUGCCCCUCUGCAAACCACUGUUCCAAAUCUAUACUGCCCUCUGCUCCUGGGAAGAUUCAGAUCCAGAUCAGGAGCAGGGGGAGGGUGAGGCUCCCACCAUUUCUCCUCCAUGCAGCCCUCCUCAGCACGGUCCCUGACAUUCCCCCAUCCUGAACUAAGCCACGCUGUUGGUCAGCCUUCCCAGACUUGGUGCCCUGCAGUUACUGCUGGACUUCAACUCCCAUCAUCCCUGACCUUUCACCAUGCUGGUUGAGUCUAACAGGAGUCCAACAGCGACCAUGUCAUCUACCUUUGAUCUUGUUCUUGUUUUACAUCAGAACUUGGGAUCAGCCCUGCUGGCAGGGUUCUUUCCCAGCCCUACCUGGAGAUGCCAGGGAGUGAACCUCUGAACCUUGUGCAUGCAAAGCAGUUGCUCUAACACUGAGCUAUGGUUCUCCCCCUAGUCCAUGGCGACUGCUGGCUCAGUCAGUGUGGUGUAGUGGUUAAGAGUGGUGGACUUGUAAUCUGGUGAACCGGGUUCGCUUCCCUGCUCCUCCACAUGCAGCUGCUGGGUGACCUUAGGCUAGUCACACUUCUCUGAAGUCUCUCAGCCCCACUCACCUCACAGAGUGUUUGUUGUGGGGGAGGAAGGAAAAGGAGAAUGUUAGCCGCUUUGAGACUCCUUCGGGUAGUGAUAAAGCGGGAUAUCAAAUCCAAACUCUUCUUCUUCUUCUCAGUCUUCAGCCCAUCUCUCAUGAACCACAGGUACUGAAAUGCAAGCUCAGUUUCCCAAUGUCUGGGGUGCGUGUGCUUUGCCAAAUGAGCCAAUCGGUUUGGGGCGUUGCAUUCGCUGUAGGGAGAGGGAGGCAUGCAUGAACUUCAGCUGUUUACCUCUUUUGCAGAAUUUGUUUCUCUCUAGGCAAAAUUAUCCUGUGUCGCUCAAGAAAAGUCCCAUUGAUUGCUGAGCUGAAUUAGCAUUUCCUCCCGCGUGCUGCUUGACAGCCACCCGGGCUGAUACAAAAGCAGGCUGUAAACAUUAACGCCUUUGAAAAGAGCAAAUUGCAAGCUUGCCACUUUCCCCCCUCGUGGCGCCUGUCUAAGCAAAACCCAUGGCCUAAUUUCAGCUCGCUGCUCUGCCUUUUCGCUGCAUCCCUUUUCGGGGCAAAAAAUAAAAUAAAAUUUUGAAGUGGGCCAUUUAAUGAGUGACAUGAGAAAGGACUGUGGUAGAAGGGGAAGCCUCAGGUCAGGGGAAAGCCAGCCUGGCCCUAGAGUUCUGCUCAGUUUCUGCAGCAAGGAAUUGGCCACUCUAGGCUUUGUGUCACCUGCUGGCCGCUAACUGUUCAUCUGUUUGCUGUUAGGAAGUUUGUAUCCAGAGGUGGGACACAAACUUUUACACAUUAUCAGGAGUAGUAAUAUUUAAACUGACUGCAGUACAGUGGUACCUUGGUUCUCAAGCUUAAUCCAUUCCAGAAGUCCGUUCCAAAAACCAAGGCACGCUUUCCCAUAGAAAGUAAGGCAAAAUGGAAUAAUCCAUUCCAGACUUUUGGAAACAACCCCUAAAACGGCAAUUUAACAUGAAUUUUACUAUCUAACGAGACCAUUGGUCCAUAAAAUGAAAGCAAAAAGCAGUGUACUGCAGUCACACAAUCAAUCAAUCAAUAGCUGAACUGGGUUCCACACAGUCACAAAAACAAAACAAAAAGAACCGCAAAAACAAAAAUGCAAAAGAAAUAGCAAAAACAGACAGACCUCAGCGUAACACUCAAAACGGAAGCGUAACACUCAAAAUGGAGCACGUUCGGAUUCCUUAAAAAGUUCACAAACCAGAACAUUUACUUCUGGGUUUGCAGUGUUUGGGUUCCAAGUUGUUUGAGUACCAAGGUGUUUGAGAAACAAGGUACCACCGUAGUUGCUUUCUUUGCCAGAGCAAAUAAAUAAAUAACAGACAUAAAUCCCCACAUGAAACAGAGCAUUAAAGUAUCUAAAACCCAUCAUAAAAUGCAGGAUCAAAACUUACCACCCACUCAAGAAGGCCAUAGACAAUUAAAACCCAAAGGUCUGGCAAAAAAUAAAAAUAUGUUUUGCCUGGUGUCUAAUGCUAUGUAUUGUUGGCACCAGGUGAGCCUCCUAGAGAAGGGCAUUCCACACGUAGGGGGCCAUCACUGAAAAGGCCUGCUCUUGUGUUGCCACCCUCAGGACCUACCUUGGAGAGGCCAUACAGAGAAGGGCUUCAGAUGGCAAAAACACCAGUAGUUUGCUCACUGGAAAAGUAAUGGUUUAUGUUCUGAUAUUGGAAUACAGGCACAAGUAUCCUGUGUCUAUGAAUGGUUAAAUCUGCUAAAAUAAAUGGAGAUUUAUUUAUUUUUGCUGUGUAACUUUAAGGAACAGAUUCCCACAAGCAUCUGGUUGGCCACUGUGAGAACAUGAUGCUGGAACAGAUGAGCCAAUGGCCUGGUCCAACAGGCUGUUUUUAUCUUCUGACAAUUCCCAGAAUUCGCUGAGAAGAGGGAUUGCCUGGGAAAUCUUUGGGUCAUUUCUCUAAGGUUGUCUAUUUUAAAGUUUUUAUGUGUUUAUAUGCCUAUCACACUUUUAAACUUAAAAUCUAUUGUUGUAUAUUGUUUUAAAGGUUUGUUUUGCUAUUGGGAUUGUAGUUCCAUUUGUGUUUCUCAGGCUGGUCUCUGACCAUAAUAAAUUUCAUGUUCACCCUGGGAACUCAAGUAGCUUCUCAUCUCCCCGUAUUACAAGACGCGAUUUCAUUGAACUUGCAAAUGUGGAAAAGAGGGCUUUCUUAAACGAAGGAUUUUGCAAUUUUACAGUCCAUUUCAUUCCUUCUGGUUUCCCCUGUAUCUGCCUCCGAUCAGCAUUAUCGGGCCACUCUGACUUCCAGCGUUUGAGGAAAGGGAGAACAUUUCCCCUCUGUGUUGUCCUUCCCCACAGUUUCACUUCUGCCAACCUCUGCCACAUCUUACAGAUGAGAAUUUUGUAGAAUCUUCCCUUAGUCAUCUUCUUUAUCCUCCCAAAAGUAAAAAGCCUUCCAAAAAAAGGGGGGGAGAGAGAGCUUUAGCAUUUCCUUGUAGGAAACCUGUUCUGGUCCCUCGAGGUUUCUUUCACCCCACCAAACUCUUCUUCCAUAUCUUUUCAUUUCCUCCCCUGUCUUGCGACAGCAGCGAAGUCCUCUGCACAGCGGCUUCCCGCCUUACCUGCACUCUUUGCCUUACCGCUGCGAGCUUUAUGACCUGUGAAAUUGGCUUAAGUAUCGAUCGGUUGUCCUUGUUUACAAUGGCGAAGGCAAGAAAGGGAGCAUUUCCGCCUGCCCGCGCUGCGACUUGGAGGAGACCCACUGCAAGGCCUGAGCUGAAUGCUCGCCGGUCACUUUGCCUGUUCAUCCUUCGUCUUGAUUUACCAGGCUGUCAGGAGUGGUAGUGGAAGGGAGAGGGAGAGGAAUAGGAAUCAGUGGCAGUGCAUGCAAUACUCCAGCAAGGAGAUAAUGCCUGGCUAGGUUAAAGAUAACUGGCUAGAGAGCAAAGAAUAGCCCCUUGCUGUGAUCAUGGCAUCACAGAAUUGUAGAGUUGGAAAGGGCCCAGGCAUCUUCAAACUCGGCCCUCCAGAUGUUUUGGGACUACAAUUCCCAUCAUCUUUGACCACUGGUCCUGUUAGCUAGGGAUGAUGGGAGUUGUAGUCCCAAAACAUCUGGAGGGCCGAGUUUGGGGGUGCCUGAUCUAUCCCAACACCCUGCAAUGCAGGAAUAUGCACCUGUCCCAUACGGGGAAGAAACCUGCAACCGUGGCAUUAUCAGCACCACACUCUAACUGAGCAUAUGAUAAGCGCUAGGGAGUCUCUAGCCACACAAGGUCCUCCAUGAAGUCUUCCAUGUCUUAAGCUGGCAAUGCCCCAUCCUCUGGCCAGAGAAGUGGUCUCACUGGCCCUGCAGGCUCAUGGGAUGGCAUGUCCUGUUUGCCCUUUCCCUCCUGUUUUGGAGACCUCCGCUUCAUCACCCAGAGAGGACUCCUGGACCCUGAAAAAGCCAGCCCUGGGAUCUGCCCUCUUGCUCUCCUGCAGCUCCUUCACGCCAAAGGAAGGGGGCUCACGAUCUGUCCUUUCCCUUAUCAACAAGCAGGCCGGUCACCUAGCGACCCCUUAGCACGAUUUCGUAAACGUGCCUAACCCCCGCGAAAUCUGAUGCAUUUAUUUUCCUGCUCGAGAGCACCAGCUCCGUACCUGGAUAAUCCAUCAUUUUAAUUGCUUUCCUGAAAGCACAGCCAUCUGAGGCUGUAGGCUGCCGGCUUACUGUCCUGCACAGCUGGAAUGUGGGGCAUGUGUGUGUUUGCGCGCCUUCUAAAAGCAUACAGAUUCUGUUUGCAUGUUACGCAGAGGGGUAUUAUGCCUGCAAACUGCUGGGUAGCAUUAAAACAGAGCGAGGAUCGAUUGGCUUCCAGUUUUUAUCUUCAAAUAUCCUACAGAUGUCAGGGCUAGGAAACUCCAUGGGUUCUCACCUUCCCCAGGUUAUCCUCACAACAAUCCUGCGACAGAGGUUGGCCUCAGAGAUGGGCACUGGCUCAAUAUCUCUAUCCGUGAGCAUUCCCAGGACUGAGAAAGGAUGUGAACCCUGGGCUCCUGGGUCCUAUGCCAACCCUAGUCUGCUGCAGGGAGCACAUAUCCACUUCCGAUCCACUAGGAUCAGGUUUAAGGUGCUGGUUUUAACCUUCAAAGCCCUAUGUGGCCUAGGACCCUCGUACCUAUGGGACCGCCUCUCCUGGUAUGUCCCACAGAGGAACUUACGGUCUUCAAACAAAAACAUCUUGAAGGUCCCAGGCCACAGAGAGGUUAGGCUGGCCUCAACCAGAGCCAGGGCUUUUCGGCUGUGGCUCCGAUCUGGUGGAACGCUCUGUCACAAGAGACUAGGGCCCUGCGGGACUUGACAUCUUUCCGCAGGGCCUGCAAGACAGAGUUGUUCCACCAGGCCUUUGGCCAAGGCACAGCCUGACUCCCUCCUUUGGCAAUCCUCACAGAACUUCUAGCCCAAUGGUUGCCAUUAAUUUGAUUGGAAUUAAUUUUAUAAUGAAAUGAUUUUAGAAUGUUUUAUCGUUUUACUGUUGUUAGCUGCUCUGAGCCCGGCUUUGGCUGGGGAGGGCGGGAUAUAAAGAAAAUUUAUUAUUAUUAUUAUUAUUCUUGUUGUUGGCAUCUGUCUGUCUCAUGAGACAAUGGAGUGUGCCUCCAGGGGUGACGUCAAACCACUGCAUUAGCAGUACCAAAGUGACCUCCCUGGGGCACAAGCCUGGGCAGGUAUAUGGGGGUCCUGGGAUGCUCAGAUGACAUGAACCCUGCCCCCCACUCAGUGGUCGCUGAUGUGGUCCAAAGGAAAGCAGAGCAAGAUGUUUGGCGCCAUCUUGACUGCAGGAGGUGCUGGAAGGAGUCAUUCAAGGCACCACCCAACCAUCUUAGGGACUCCAGAUUUGUGCAGAAUUUACCCCUGAGCCUUUUUUCUCUCCCAAAGAUGUCCCACAAGGCAGCAGAAGAUUAGGGCCCAAGAUUUCUUUCUCCUACUGUAUAUGAGCAACCUUCCCAGGUUGGCAAGCCCCACUUACCCCUCACUUCCCUCCCUGAGCAUGUGCAGAGGCCACCUUCCUGGCUGUUGGAGCCACUCUUGGUCUUGUCCACCCAACAUGCCGGAGCCUGCCUCCAGAGGAAGUCCCUAACUCAUUGAGGGUUAGAGACCCAUCAGCUACCUUCACCUGGUUUAGCCAGCCAGUCAAAGCCAUUCCCAGGGUGUGGCCACUGUCACAUGCUGACAGCUUCUAGGAGCCACAGGUGAGACUUGAGUCCAGGGUGGGGAGGACCAGAGGUGGACAAGCUACCCCAGAAGGAGCACAAUGUGUCCCCUAAUAAUAAUAAUAAUAAUAAUAAUAAUAAUUUAUUAUUUAUACCCUGCCCAUCUGGCUGGGUGUCCCCAGCCACUCUGAGAGGCUUCCAACCGAAUAUUAAAAACAAUACAGCAUCAGACAUUAAAAACUGCCUUCAGUUGUCUUUUAAAAGUAAAAUAGUUGUUUAUUGCCUUGACAUCUGCUGGGAGGGCGUUCCACAGGGCAGGUACCACUACCAAGAAGGCCCUCUGCCUGGUUCCCUGUAACCUCACUUCUCACAGCGAGGGAACUGCCAGAAGGCCCUCGGCGCUGGACUUCAGUGUCUGGGCUGGAUGAUGGGGGUGGAGAUGCUCCUUCAGGUAUAGAGGACCGAGGCCAUUUAGGGCUUUCAAGGUCAGCACCAACACUUUGAAUUGUGCUCGGAAAUGUACUGGGAGCCAAUGAAAAUCUUUCACCCAACAGAGGUGCCACCCCUCUCCCAACACCCCAUACACCCCACACAGACAUCCAUUGGGGAUUAUUAAAAGAGCGGGGUGGAAGUGGCACAGAGCAGGGUAGGCUCAGGGAACACACCGGCCCCACUCCUCAGAGGCAAGAACCCAGUGACGGUUCUUGAUGUUCCAGCCUUGCGAAAGAACAGUGUGCAGCUGUGGGUGGAAAAAGGGGCAGUAACUUUCCGAGGAGGCUAAAAUGCCAUGGGGCACGGCAUUGGCGUCAGUCGGCCCCCUAAGCGUGAUGGUGAUGAGAGCGGCUCAUCUGCAGCCUUGAAGAUAACGCCGGAUCUCUUCCACUCAGUUGCCAUGGCAUGCUUCUUACCGUUCCCCUUUGUUCAAACAGCUCCGUGGGUUAUUUAAGAUAACGGUUGAUAAAUCCCUGCGACCUGAUUGGCUGGCUUUUCUCCUUUUUUUCCAUUUCCUUUCUAUUUAUUUAUUAUUUUUGCUCGGCAAUCUGCUUGUAACACACUCAGACAAUAGUGAGUUUUAUUUCUUCCUUUCUUCCGUAGCUGGAAAUCAGUUGGCAUCAAGAAUUUAGGAGGGGGGCAGCGGCUCUACUGUUAGGCAAAGUGAAGCAAUGGCCUCAGGCGGCGGGUGCUGGGGGAGGCAGCAGGCCCCUGGCCGAUUUGCCAAUCCCACGUUCCCCUUGGUUGGGAAACAGAGCUGUGUCUCUGUAGUUUAAUACGUUUUUCUCUGUCUGCUUCAUUGGAUUGCGUCACUGGCUACUAGGGUGGCCUCUUCAUUCCACGCAUACUUAAUUUUGGGAGCACUGCACAGCCAAUUUGGGGGUGGCGUCACCCUGAGCUGGAGGAGAAAAUCAGCCUUGGAGCAAUCUGCUCAUUAAACAAGGGUGUGUUUUUGCAUUCGGCAAGAUAUUAGAAUGGGGGUGGGGACAGUCAUCUCAUGAAUCUGAGGGGCAGGGGACUGUUAAAACUAACGGACUAAAGGAGAUGGUGACAUUCACAUGUUUAAUCAGAGGAAAAAGUCAUUGGACUCAGCUACACUAGUAAAGAAAAAGCAUUUUACAUGCAUUACAACACUUGUGACACCAGAUGGUGCUGUGGAGUUCCGUCUUUCACCAACGUGAUUUUGUAAAGUUUACAACGCGUUUUGCUGAUACGCUUUCUUGAUGUGUCUAGAUCUAGCCCCUUUAAACAUUUGUUAAAGAUUGGACUUUUUGUGUGAAAAAGAAAAUUAAAUAAUGACAUUUGGAUUUGAGGAUUGGAGGUGAUGUUUGUUUGUAAAAAGUGGCUUUGUUGGAUGUUACAUUGGAGUGGAUGAUGUGAAUAUUACUUAUCUAUGGCAGAGAGAUGAAGAAUUGGAAGUCCUUUACCUUCUGAAUUUUAUCUCUCUCUCUCUCUCUCUCUCUCUCUCUCUCUCCCUUUUCUAUUUCUAUUUCUUUAUUUUUCUCUUUCUUUAAUUCUUUCUCUCCCCUCUUUAUGUUUUUGUUGUAUUUAGAUCAAAGUCUUAGUCUGAACAACAAAAAAAGGAAAAGAUAUUUGAUAUAAAGUUUUGUAUUUUUCUCUAUAACCCCUAAUUUAUUUAUUUAUUUUUUAAUGAAUCUGAGUGGCACGAAAUGCAAACCAGACAAAUAAGAAUGUAAGAUGAGGUUGCUGGAUCAGGCCAGUGGCUCAACUGGCCCAGCAUCCUGUUCUCACAUUGCCCAACCAGAUGCCCGUGGAAAGCCUGUCCUAGGUGGACCUGACCUCUCCGCCCACCUGCGGUUCCCAGCAAGUGGUAUUUAGAGGUAUUCUGACAGUGGAGGUAGAACACAGCCAUCAUGGCUAAAGAGUCAUCAUUUCUCCCCAAGGAUUACAGUCCUGAGAGAACUGAAUAAAGAUGCUCAGCAGCUCUGCUCAUCUUCAUGGCCACACCUUUAAAACACUCUUAUACCACUUUUACUUCCUGUGCUUGUCAGGGCUGGGUUUAGGUUUGAUGAGGCCCUGAGCUACUGAAGGUAAUGGGGCCCUUUAUAUGUCCAGCUGUCCUUUGUCAACAACAAAUGGUCACUGUUUUUUGUGCUGAAUAUAUGCUGCAUUGUAAUAUAUGGACCUAAUAGGUAUCUCAAGCCAUUUGCACAUGCAGAAUGUAGGCACCCUAUAUAUAGAAAGGAGCAAACCAGUGAUAUUUUAGGGAGCAGGCUAGCCGGCGGGGCCCAUGACUUACAUCAUAGGAGCCUACCCAACACAAAACACUGUUGCUGUAUGUAGGUUUUAUUUUAGUCAUACCUCUUGUUACGUUUGCUUCAUGUUACAUUUUUUCAGGUUGCGUCCCGCGGUGACCCGGAAGUACCAGAAAGGGUUACGUCCGGGUUCCACCGCUUGCACAUGCGCAGACGCGCAAAAUGCUGUCACGCGCAUGCACAGAAGUGAUGAAUCGUGACCCGCGCACAUGCAGACAUGGGUUGCAUUCCUUUCAUGUUGUGAACGGGGCUCCGGAACGGAUCCCGUUUGCAACCAGAGGUACCACUUUAUUUGGUUUUUAUCUUAUAUUUUGGAAAUGUACAUCCAGGUUUUUUUCCUUUAUAUUUGGGGGGGGGGCCAAGAGACCGAUGCCCUAAGCUAUAGCUUGUUUAGCUUAUACGUAAAUCCAGCACUGAGGCCCUUCUCUAUGUAGCUGCUCCCAGAGGGUGCCAAUUAGAAAACAGCCCCUUUUUUUGUCGUGGUUCCUCAAUUGUGGAAUGCUCUCCCCAAAGAGGCUUAUUUGGCACCAUCAUUACUUGUCUUUAGAUGCCAGGCAAAACAAACAAACAAACAAAAAAAUCUCUUUACCCAAACCUAUGGUUAUUAAGAAAAACCUAUGGCCUUGAAAGUGUGGGAGAGAAGACUCUUAUUAUGAUUAUUAUUUUACUAUUAGGCUGUCUAUCAGUAUGCUUUUAUUUUUUUUUAUCAUUGGUGUUUUGUAAUGUGUUUCUAAUGUUGUUGUUGUUUGUUUAGUCAUGGACCAGAGCACACCAGACACUCCUGUCUUCCACUGCCUCCCACAGUUUGGUCAAACUCAUGUUGGUAGCUUCGAGAACACUGUCCAACCAUCUCGUCCUCUGUCGUCCCCUUCUCCUUGUGCCCUCCAUCUUCCCCAACAUCAGGGUCUUUUCCAGGGAGUCUUCUCUUCUCAUGAGGUGGCCAGAGUAUUGGAGCCUCAACUUCAGGAUCUGUCCUUCCAGUGAGCACUCAGGACUGAUUUCCUUCAGAAUGGAUCGGUUUGAUCUUCUUGCAGUCCAUGGGACUCUCAAGAGUCUCCUCCAGCACCAUAAUUCAAAAGCAUCAAUUAUUUGGUGUUCGGCCUUCUUUAUGGGCCAGCUCUCACUUCCAUACAUCACUACUAGGAAAAGCAUAGCUUUAACUAUACGGACCUUUGUCAGCAAGGUGAUGUCUCUGCUUUUUAAGAUGCUGUCUAGGUUUGACGUUGCUUUUCUCCCACCCUUCCUCCUCAGCCAAGAUCAAAGCAAGGGAGAGAUGGGAGAUGGGAUACAGGAAGCUUCCCUCCAUCAGACCCUGCAGCCAAGCCUCAACUUCAGGAUCUGUCCUUCCAGUGAGCACUCAGGGCUGAUUUCCUUCAGAAUGGAUCGGUUUGAUCUUCUUGCAGUCCAUGGGACUCUCAAGAGUCUCCUCCAGCACCAUAAUUCAAAAGCAUCCAUUCUUCAGCGAUCAGCCUUCUUUAAUGUUGUGCACCGCUCUGAUAUCUUUUGAUAAAGGGUGGUAUAUAAACUGAACUAAUUGUUGUUUAUUGCAUGAAGAGCCCACCUUUUUCUCCACAGAGCUCCAUGUAGUCUCCAUGGUCCUCCCUCUUCCUCACUGAAUCCCGACAACAACCUUGCGAGGUAGGUUUGGCCAAGAAGCAGUGACUGACAUCCGAGGUCACCCAGUGAGAGCUUUGCGGCCAAGUGCAGAUUUGAAUCCUGGUCUCUCCCUGGCGCUAUGCCACACUGGCUCCCUUAAGGGCACCACGAGUUGUUAGGAGACCCCUCCACGGAACUACAGUCCCCAACACCCUCAACAGCUCCUGAAAUUCUUUGUAGGAAGCCCGCCCAGCACUUCCUGAGAACUGGUGCCCUUGUCCUCAGCUGACUUCCCUUCUUCUCCAGCUGCAGAGCUACAGCUGUUUCAUAUCCCUUCUGCCUUGGAAGGAGGAGAAAUAUUAUCUUAUCUUUCUCGCAAUGGGAUCUUUCUGUAACGGGAGGCUUUUUAUUGCCGUUUAAAGAAACACAAUAACAUUCCUCUGAAUAUUAAGCAUUUGAGAUGGGGGUGCCUGUUCUGCUCCUGUUUUUUUCUUUUCUUCUCUUUCACCCGAAGUUUUGAUCUAAAGCGAAUGAGAAAACACGGUUUAAAAUAUGCUAUAAAAUAGAUCUUUGUUUCCCACUAUGUUUAUGAAGGCAGCGGGGAAGCAAUUUUCCCUGUCACCUGUAAACAGGAGAUGGAUGGCUUUGUUUCUCAGAUGAUAGUGAUCUAAGGAGGGAGAAUGGGAAUCGCAUCACUAAGGAAGGUCUUUAUCAGUAAGCACUGAUGUCUUACAAACCCUUUUUUAAAAAAAGAAAAACUCUUAUUUCAGCUCACCAAACCAGCUAAAUUCAUCCAAUACAUUAACUCUUGAGCACCAUACUAUUUUCCACUCUGCAGAUUCAGUGGGAUCAUAGAAUCAUAGCAUUGCCUCUCCCAGUAUGCCCCGUGGAGGACCUUAAGGUCCAAAUAGCAACACCCUAGAGGUCCCGGGCCCUAAGGAAGUCAGAUUAGCCUCAGCCAGAGCCAGGGCCUUUUCAACACUGGCUCUGGCCUGGUGGAACGCUCUGUCUCAUGAAACCAGGGCCCUGCGGGAUCUGAUUUCUUUCCGCGGGGCCUGUAAGACAGAGUUGUUCCGCCUGGCCUUUGGCUUGGAAUCAACUUGAUCCCCUGCCCCUCUUUCCUUUUUCCUUUCUCCUUCUAUGAUGGAACUCCUAUUUGGGGACUUCCCUGGCUUUUUUCUGGCCCACGUAGGACCAGUCUGGAUCGUUGGCCUUGGUGAAGAUUUGACGUUUUCAUCCCCAAAGUUUUUGAUUUGAGUUUCUACUAAAAUAAGGCUGCAUCUUAAUGUUAUAUUUUAAUCUUGUUUUUAAGUUGUAUUUUAAUCAAUUGUUUUUAUAUCUGGUAUUAGCCGCCCUGAGCCCAGUCUUAGCUGGGGAAGGCGGGGUGAAAAUAAAAUUUAUUAUUGUUGUUAUUAAUUAUUAUUGUAGUUGGGAAGGGACCCUGAGGGUCAUUUAGUCCAACUCCCUGCAAUGCAGGAAUCUCAACUCAAGCAUCCAUGACAGAUGGCCAUCCAACCUCUGCAACUUCCUCUCCAGUGAAGAAGCCCUGUUGUUAGGUUUCCAAGGGGUUGCUCGAGAGCAAGCGGGCAAAUACCUCCCUGCUCGGCCGUGAAGCCUUGCUUUUGAUGCAAAAUAAACUUUAUCUGUCCAGAGCACUACUCUCCCGUGGCUGACUGGCUGGAGGAGGUUGGAACUUGGUCUGAUCCACCAGGACUCUCCUUCUUGCAUCCUUAAGGGUGACCCUGAGACCAACAGAGUGGAAAGCAGUUCUGAGCCACGGGACCCAAUGUGCUGGGAGAUUCUGCCUCCUAAACCCCAUUGAAAUGAAGGAGCAGAGUUGGCACACAGCAGAAGUGUUGCGGGGAAGGAAAGGAUUUAAUUUUGCUACUGAACGAUUACUGAGCCACAGGAGAGCUGUAGCUCAGGGGUAGAGCAGAUGCUUUCCCUGCUGAGGCUCCUGGGUUCGAUUCCUGGCAUCUCCACGUACAACUGGAAACGAACCUGCCUGACACUUUUGAGAGCCACUGCCUCUUAGGGUAGACAAUACUGAGCUGGAGGGAUGCAGGGUCUGAGGGAGGGAAGCUUCCUGUAUCCCAUCUCCCAUCUCUCCCUUGCUUUGAUCUUGGCUGAGGAGGAAGGGUGGGAGAAAAGCAAUGUUAAACCUAGACAGCAUCUUAAAAAACAGAGACAUCACCUUGCUGACAAAGGUCCGUAUAGUUAAAGCUAUGCUUUUCCUAGUAGUGAUGUAUGGAAGUGAGAGCUGGCCCAUAAAGAAGGCCGAACACCAAAUAAUUGAUGCUUUUGAAUUAUGGUGCUGGAGGAGACUCUUGAGAGUUCCAUGGACUGCAAGAAGAUCAAACCUAUCCAUUCUGAAGGAAAUCAGCCCUGAGUGCUCACUGGAACGACAGAUCGUGAAGCUGAGGCUCCAGUACUUUGGUCACCUUGUGAGAAGAGAAGACUCCCUGGAAAAGACCCUGAUGUUGGGAAAGAUGGAGGGCACAAGGAGAAGGGGACGACAGAGGAUGAGAUGGUUGGACAGUGUUCUCGAAGCUACAAACAUGAGUUUGACCAAACUGGGGGAGGCAGUGGAAGACAGGAGUGCCUGGCUUGCUCUGGUCCACGGGGUCACGAAGAGUCAGACACGACUAAACGACUAAACAACAAAGGAGGAAGGGUGGUCAAAGGGGACCCAGGAUCUGCUUCCACAAAGCCGUACCUGAUGCAAUAAAUCGAGGAAGGUGCCAGCAUCCAGACCAGUCUAGCCACGCUAACAGAAAGUGCUCAAGCGGAAUAAAGAUCAAUAAUUCCGCCACAGAGGUGAUUAGGAAAACGCCUUCUGGCAGCCGGGUUCCAUUUAAUUUAAUUAGGGAGUCUGGCCACAAGGUUCCUAAAGGUUGGGCAGCAGAGGAGGAAGGGAAAGCGAGGGAUUGUUUAGAGAGGAAAAAACAAGGUUGCUUCUAGUAGAGAUUCCCCAGGAGGGAAGGAGCUCUGCUUCCACAGCUGGAAGCAGCAAUGCUUGUGAAAUUCUCGGGAUCCCCUCUCUGGUCAUGGAUUCUCUUGUAACACUGGUUUCUGGGAACUGCAGGUGCAGAGAGGGCUCUUGUGCUCAGGUCCUGGCCCCUCUGAGAACAGGAUGCUGGACUAGGUGGGCCAUUGGGAGCUGGGUAUAUUUAGCUUGGAGAAGAGAAGACUUGAGUGGUGAUAUGAUAGUCAUCUUCAAAUCUCUGAAGGGCUGUUGCAUGGGAAAUGGAGCAAGCCUGUUUUCUGCUGCUCCAGAGGGUAGAAUCCAUACCAACAGGUUCAAAUUACAAGAAAGGACAUUCUGAAUAACAAUUAGGAAGAGCUUUCUGAUGGUAAGAACUGUUUGACAGUAGGACAGUAGGAUGGACUCCCUCAGAAGGUGGUAGACCGGUGUCUCCUCCUCCUCCUCUUCUUGCUCCGGUGUCGCCUCACUUUACAGCGAGGCAGGAGGAGGGAUGGGCAAGCAAAGUAAGAGCUGCACAAAGCGGGACAGAAACCAUGUAAGCGGCUCUCACUUUGCUUGCUUUAAGGCAAGAAAAAAAGCAAGAAAAGCAAGUUCCGCUUACACGCUCUGCACAGAAUAUAUUUUUUCUUGUUUUCCUCGUCUAAAAACUAGGUGCAUCUUAUGGAGGGGGAAAUAUGGUACUCAGCUGAUAGACCUCUGGAGGAAAUGGGAGGAUCAGGAAUUUGCUGGGGAAAGCAGGGAAGCAGUGUUGAGAAAGAGGGAGAGAGAGAAUAGCUAGCAUUUGUUGUUUAGUCCUUUAUUCGUGUCCGACUCUUCUUGACCCCAUGGACCAGGGCUAGCAUGUACCCCCCCAAAGCCUGCCCAUGGGGGAAUUCUGAAAAAUGUUCCCCACCCCAGGUGGGGGGUCUGGUAUUCUUGGGGGCUACAAUGACCCACCAGCCACUGCGGAGGCCUUCUAGUUGCAGGUCCUUGUGAGGGGCUCUGUCUCCUCUCUAAAUGGCAUCCUUCCAGCCUGUUUAACUGCAAUGACAGCAGUUCAGGUCACCCAAUCAUUGCGGCCUUGUUGCCUAGGGAGAUUAUUAUGAUUUGGGGACUUUUUGCCUUGCAAACGACAGGGCCUUGAGUUAUUUAAAGCAGUUAAGUAGGAAGUCGCCGGUGGAUAAUAAGAGCCCCGUUCAAUCGGAGCUCAUUUGAGGCAUCGAGUUAAACUGUCCCUUGAAUCAAAAGCUGCUUAGAGUACCCUUUGGAGGGGAGGAGGGAGGACUAAUAAUUGGCUCUCUUCAUCAGAUGGACAUUUAAACUGUGCCAAGUUUAGCAUGGAGGCUUGGACUGGGGAAUUAUUCCUUUUUCCACCCACCACCAUUCCCAAUUUGGCUUUGCAUUCCGAUGAAGUCUCUGUUGAUUGCCUGGAGUUCCAUCUUCCGACAGAAGGGUUGAUUUAUGAAUGUGGACUGGACACUGUGGGAAAAGUUAUAUGCCACCUGGUAGGCAGGUGGUAGCCAAACCCUCUUGGUCUAAAGCUACUGGAGGUUGUGGAAGGAAUUAAAAAUAUUUCUCCGUUUGGGCAUCUUGGAGGCAUGCAACCCCUUGAAGAAAGUUCAAAUGUUCUUCAACCUUGACUUCCCUUGCUGGACUAUAACUCCCAUCGUCCCUGACCACUGGUUAAGCUGGCUGGGGCUGAUGGAUGUGAAAUCUAACAACAUCCAGGGAAGUUGUUAGACGGGAUCUAGGGGUCUUAAAAGGUAAAGGUAAAGGGACCCCUGACCGUUAGGUCCAGUCAUGGCUGACUCUGGGGUUGCGGCGCUCAUCUCGCUGGUUCCCUCGGCAUACAGCUUCCAGGUCAUGUGGGCAGCAUGACUAGGCCACACUUGGCGAACCAGAGCAGCGCACGGAAACGCCGUUUACCUUUCUGCUGGACCGGUACCUAUUUAUCUACUUGCACUUUGACGUGCUUUUGAACUGCUAGGUUGGCAAGAGCAGGGACCAAGCAACGGGAGCUCACCCUGUUGCGGGGAUUCGAACCACCGACCUUCUGAUUGGCAAGUCCUAGGCUCUGUGGUUUAACCCACAGCGCCAUCCACAUCUUAGUGGACCACAAGCUCAGCAUGAGUCCACAGCAAAAAAGCUAAUGCUAUUCUAGGCUGCAUCAACAGAAGUCUAGUGUCCAGAUCAGGGGAAGCCAUAGUACCACUCUGUUCUGCCUUGGUCAGACCACACCUGGAAUACUGUGUCCAAUUCUAGGCACCACAGUUUUAGAAGGAUAUUGACAAGCUGGAAUGUGUGCAGAGGAGGGCGACCAAGAUGGCCAAGGGUCUGGAAACCAAGCCUUAGGAGGAACGGUGGAGGAAGCUGGGUAUGUUUAGCCUGGAAAAGAGGAGACCGAGAGGAGAUAUGAGAGCCAUCUUCAAAUAUCUCAAGCACUGUCACUCGGAAGAUGGAGCAAGUUUGUUUACUCCUGCUCUGGAGGGUAGGACUCGAACCAAUGGGUUCAAGUUACAAGAAGGAGAUUCCGACUAAACAUCAGGAAGAACUUUCUGAUGCUAAAUGCUGUUUGACAGUGGAACAGUCUCCCUUGGGAGGUUGUGAACUCUCCUUCCUUGGAGGUUUUUAAGCAGAGGUUGGAUGGCCAUCUGCCAUGGAUGCUUUAGCUAAGAUUCCUGCACUGCAAUUCUAUGAUUUUAAGUUCCAUUUAGUGGUCUUCAUGAUCAGCUGCCUAAUCCUCAUUUGGAGCCAUCUAAGCCAGGGGUAGGCAACCUAGGGCCCAUGGGCCGGAUGCGGCCCCAUCACCUUCUCAAUCCGGCCCCCGGCUAGUCCGGGAAUCAGUGUGUUUUUACAUGAGUAGAAUGUGUCCUUUUAUUUAAAAUGCAUCUCUGGGUUACUUUUGGGGCAUAGGAAUUUGUUCAUUCCCCCCCCCCAAAAAAAAUAUAGUCCUGGCCCCCACAAGCUCUGAGGGACGGUGGACCGGCCCCCGGCUCAAAAAGGUUGCUGGCCCCUGAUCUAGGCUCAUGGCCCCCCUUGCCUCUGCUGGCCAUUGAUUCCAUUGUACUUUGAAGGAGCACUUGCCUCUUGAAUAUCCUUUGCAUGUGGCUAAGAAAAAACAGAACAGGAAUCUUGUAACUGCAGCUCUUGUGCAAUGUUAAUGAAACCUAAUGGGAUCUCGCUGUCCUCUAAACCUGUUCCCACCCAAGCGUUAAGUGAACAUUCAUUAAGGAGAGCUUCGGGAGUCCUUGCUUGGCUGAAAGAGAUCUAGGUCCCUAUCCGCACUUUAUGCCGUUAAAGCAGUACCGUACCACUUUGAACAAGCAUGGCUUCCCCAAAAGGAUCCUGGGAUCUGCAAUUGGCUAAGGGUGCCAAAAGUUAUUUGGAGACUCCUGUUGCACCCGCAGAGCUACAGUUCCCAGAGGGGUUUAACAGCCAAUCGCUCUUCCCAGGGAACUGAUCAGAACCCUGCUAAUGAUCCCCACCCCAUUCCUGUCUCCUGGCACUGUCUCCCAUUCAACCCCAGUGUUGCUGUAUGGUUCCUACACCUGAUGUUACCCAAACAGCAUGUGAUGGAGACGCGGGGACUCAGAAGGCAGCUACAGAAUCAGUCCCUGCUUAUGUGGCUCUUUGAGGUUCAUGCAGUGAGUAGUAGGAAAGAAGGUAACUUUAAUGGGAAGGCAUAAGCCAGGGGUCAGCAAACUUUUUCAGCAGGGGGCCGGUCCACUGUCCUUCAGACCUUGUGGGGGGCUGGACUAUUUUUUGGGGGGGGUGAACGAAUUCCUAUGCCCCACAAAUAACCCAGAGAUGCAUUUUAAAUAAAAGGACACAUUCUACUCAUGUAAAAACAUGCUGGUUCCCAGACCGUCUGUGGGCCAGAUUUAGAAGGCGAUUGGGCCACAUCCGGCCCCCAGGCCUUAGUUUGCCUACCCAUGGCAUAAGCCACAGGGGUCAGCAAGGUGUCGUGAGAGAGAGAGAGCACAUGCACCCAUGAUUUCCAGUGUCUGCAUCCACACAGAUGCAAUUUCUGGUGUCUGCAUCUACGCAGACAUGAUUUUUGUCAUCUGCACAUGCGCAGUCGCAAUUCCCGGCGCCACAGAAGCGAGUCCCCGUGCUGUGCUGCGCCAGUUUACUGCAGCACGAGGGGACUUACCAAGUGGGUGGCUCGGUUCAGGGGCGGUUCAGGGGCUGGUUAAAUGACCCCCAUGGUCCGCUUGUGGCCCAUGGGCUUUAGGUUGCCUCCCCUGUUAUAAGGCAACUCAGUUAAGUGUGACACAAUGGUCAACUUCUUCCAUGCUCUUUCAGGCUGCUGUCCAAGGAUACUGAACUCCUUCAAAAGCCACCCUUGAGCUUUCUCAUUCAAACUCAGGUGGGGACCUUUGCCAACCCUCCCAGGCAACCUUCUGGUGGCCUUACAUCAGUGGUGGGCAGCCAGAUGCAAGAUGUGGGUGGAGCUGCAGAUAUGAUUCUUUCCCUUUGUACCAUCAGCUACAUUUCAGACAUGCAGAAGUUAGAGCUUUCUGUGUGUACACAUUUGCCCAUCAUCCAUCCAGGCACACAAGAGGCAUUAUCACAGUUAAAAUACAUAUUCCAGCCAGGCAAAAAACACUCAGUGAGAGCUUGGAGCAAGGCUGGAGACAGGCAUGACUUGGGGGAAAGUCCUGAGGGCCAGAUCCAGAGCCCUAAAGGGCCACAUUCAACCUGGGAGCCUCAGGGUCCCCACCUGCCGUUCUUGAAGAAGAAUUCUGUGAUGCUUGUGUGCUUUGCUGCCAGAUCAGACUUGCCCUAUGUUGCAGGAGAGUCGGGGCAAGGAAAGGCUGAGAGACAGGAAGGGGAAGGUCAUUCCAUAGCAAAUAAUAAUAAUAAUAAUAAUAAUAAUAAUAAUAAUAAUAAUUUAUGCCCCGCUACUCUGGGCUGAGUUUCCCCAGCCACUCUGGGCGGCUUCCAAUCAAGUGUUAAAAACAAUACAGCAUUAAAUAUUAAAAACUUCCCUAAACACCUAGUUGCUCCGACUGAUAAGCAAACUUUGGCCAAAGGUCAUGGCAGGGAUGAAGGCAUGGCACUUUUUCCAGCCUUCAGGUGCUGAGAGGCUUUGUUGCUGCUGCGUUUGGUCUCUCUACAGUUCCCUCCUUUGGCUGGAGCUGAGUGGUGGUCUGCAAACUGCCCCCCUUCCUGACAUGCCUCAGGCCACCCAUUCUGGUGGGUUUGAGUCCUGACACCCACCCACGCCAACGGAAGCAACUUCAGUGCUGGGAGUCACCCGCCUUUCAGUCUCUGAGUGGCACCUUAAACGCCUCAUUCCAGCUUCUCGUAAGUUAAUUUCUCCGCCCAGCAAAAUGCAAUCACAAAUUUGCCGGCUGUGUUUGCCUUGUCUGUCUUGUUCUCCCAAUUGCUGGAUUCCCUUGGCUCUCCCCAUUACUCUUAAAGCUGAUGGAUUUCAGUCCGAGGCGAGGGGUUCAUUUGCUCAGUGCUAGGAACCUCUGCCGAAAGGAAGGAGAACAGAGACAAAUCAAAGAGGAGCUGGACAAAAACCUUUAAGUUAAGAGUCCUCAGGAUUGGGCUCAGUUCUGCAGCCGAUCAUUCCACACGCACACGCACACACCGCCUGCCCUGCAGCCUUCUGGAGUUUGAGUAUUUACAUUCCAGUGGAAAAACUUAGUCCUCUUCAUCUUCAAAAAGAUAUUUGCCUUUGAACAUCCAGCCUGCAGCUGAUUCAAAUCCAGAAGCUCAGCGGUGGAUCAUUACAACCAUCUUGAUCCCCCUUCUGAUCUGCAGAAUGUGUGUGUGUGUGUUUCCUGCAAAUUGGUCAGCUCUCAGGUCCCAUAUACAUUUUCUCACCCAUCGGUCUAGGGUGUCAAAAAGUGCUCCAAUGUCAUGACUGCCUGUUGUGUGCAUGUAGGUGAUAGUGCAGAAAUAGGAUUUUUUUUUAACGUGUUAUCUCAAGGAUUUGAGGCACACCAAACUAUUAAAAUAAGGCUGCCUCAGUGUGAGAGGGAGAAAAGACACAGCAGAAUGAAAUACAGUGGUACCUCAGGUUCCAGACACUUCCGGUUACAGACUCCGCUAACCCAGAAAUAGUACCUCACGUUAAGAACUUUGCUUCAGGAUGAGAACAUAAAUAGUGUGGCAGCAGCAGGAGGCCCCGUUAGCUAAAGUGGUACCUCAGGUUAAGAACAGUUUCAGGUUAAGAACGGACCUCUGGAACUAAUUAAGUUCUUAACCCAAGGUACCACUGUACACACAUAUCUACAAAACUGUGCAUCUGAUCAGAUGAUACUGAAUCAUAUUAAUGUCCCUGCUUCUCCUUCCACUCCUCCUGAAGACUAACUGCAGCUUUGGAAAGAGGGGAUUGGAGACAUGGAAAUGAUGUAAUGAGGAGGGUUAAGCCCCACUCCCCUUAUGUCACAACCCCAAUCCAAAUCAGAGCAAGGUACAGCUGAUUUUCACGAAGGACAAAGACUUUGAGAGAUCAGAAGAUGGAGCACCCAAAUCAAUUCUAGGUUGACCCUAAACCGGGGCUGGGGAACCUUUGUCCUCCACAGAUGUUCCUGAACUACAACUCCCAUCAGUCCCAGCUAGCAUAGCCAGUAGCUAGGGAUGAUGGGAGUUGUAGUCCAGCAGCUUCUGAAGGUAAGAGAAAUCUGACUCACGUUUCUCUGCCAUGACCUUGGCUUUACAAAGUCUUUCAUUUCUUUUCUUUUACUUAUCAGUCGUAGGGAAGUUGCCUUACAGCAGGUCAAACCUGCAGGCAUCUGGUUGGCCACUGUGAGAACAUGAGGCUGGACUAGAUGGGCCAUUGGCCUGAUCCUGCAGGCUCUACUUAUGUUCUUUAUAGGCCAAAAUCUGGUGCCCCAAAAUAGAUCUUCUCAUUUAUGGAGUUUCUUGAUUUUGUGCCUCCUUAAAUCCAUCACUGGUUGUGCCUCACCUGGAGUCCCAUUUCCAGCAAACAUGCAUUAAAGAUGAAUUUGGAGGUGCUUCAUUCUGUACAGUACUUGUAGACUUUUCUCUUUAUCUGCAGUCAACAGAGCAUUAUAACUUUUUACAACAAUUAGCAAUGAACGACGUUAAUAAAAACUGAAAAAUACAGAACUGUAUUAUUAUUACUGCCACAGCUAAUUUUUUAAUCGCUUUCUAAACUACCGUCCCAAGGAGAUUUACACAUAAAAUGAUUUUUAAAAACCAGUUAAGAGAGCAAAAGCAAAACACACAUUUAAAACCAAAGCAAAACUCCAAGAAGUUGACAUUCAUGGUAAAGGACCGUUUAUCCAGCUGUAAUGCUAAACUAUAUGCAUCUAUAAAUCAGGCGAUCCUUAAUCGUCUAAUAUGGAUGGCCAUAUUCAAAAACAUUGUCACUCUUUCUGUGACUGACUUAUUGGAGCCCUGAAGCAAAGUGGUCAUAAGAGACUCAAAGGAGCAGCCAGGGAGGGACUGAAUAAUGGGAUAUAUUAAAUCUUCCCCAGCCCCUUGAUAAAAACUACAGUUUAAAAGGGACGCGCAGGAGAGACUCAAAGUGAGCUUUGUUACAAGGGCAGCGUCUGUUGAUCACUGGGGUUUUAUUGCCUCUGCCGUCUAGUAAAUUAGGAGGGAGAACAUUAAAACUUGCCAAAGAAAAGGGCUUUCCUGUGUUUAGAGGUAGUUAACCAUCCCAAGUGUACCAUUCCAUCUUUGCAGGGGAGACAAAGUAACACCAGCGACUGAAGGGGAACAGGAUUCCCAUACAGUUCUUUGAAACUCUUGAAAAUCCAAAUCCAGUAGCCUCUGUUUUCAGGGGUCAGCAAACUUUCAGCAGGGCGCCAGUCCACUGUCCCUCAGACCUUGUGGGGGGCCGGACUAUAUUUUGAAGAAGAAAAAAAUGAACACAUUCCUGUGCCCCACAAAUAACCCAGAGAUGCAUUUUAAAUAAAAGGACACAUUCCACUCAUAUAAAAACAUGCUGAUUCCCGGACCGUCCAUGGGCCGGAUUUAGAAGGCGAUUGGGCCGGAUCCGCCCCCCGGGCCUUAGUUUGCCUACCUAUGAUUUAAAUCAUCAGCAGGGGAUUCCCACACAGCAGGGUUAAUUAAUGUUUGCAGCCUUCUUGUCAUGUUCACAGGCAUCUUUGUAAUACAGAGUUGGUCUGCCAACAGGCCUGGUGCCUGCAGCCAGCUCCCCCAAAGGCAGACCAUUGGUCAGUCUAGCUCAGUGUUAACUCCGCUGUCUGGCCAUGGCUCUGCAGGGUUUUCAGGCAGGAGUCUGUCCAAGCUGUACCCGGGGAUGCCAGGGAUUGAACUUGCAACCUUCUACAAAGCAGAUGCUCUACCCCUGAGCUGUCAGCAACUUCUAACCCGAAGGCCCAGAGAAGUCAAAACAAGACUGUGUCCAUGAAUACAGCCUUGAAACUCCUUUUUAUUCCCAGAAGAUGUUGAGAGGUAGAAUUCACAUAAGGAGCCAGAUGUUGUUGGCAUCCGUCUGUCUCAGGAGACAAUGGAAUAGUGUGCCUUGGGGGUGAGGUCAAGGCUGCAGUGUGCCUGCUGUGGCUGUAGAGACCGAUACAGGAGAGACAUGUUUUGUUGCAGCUGGGGCAGAUGAAGGCAUCCAGUUGUGUUGCUGGCAUUUCUUCUCUCCACGGUCUUCCCAGCAGUCGUUUCUGCUCUGGUCGCUGCUGUUGAUACACGACUUGACUGCCUGUCUCUGGGCACUGUAGUCAUACGCGAGGGAUUCCCAAAUGGCAGAGUUGAUGUUGCCAGCCUUUGUGUCAUGUGUGCAGACAUCUUUGUAAUGCAAAGCAGGCCUGCCAAUUGGCCUGGUGCCAGAUGCCAGCUCCCCUUGGGGAUCCUGCCAUCUUCUAUUCAAUGGGCAUGACCAGGCCAGAUUAGGUGUUGCUAAGACAGAAUGUGGGCUUGGGAGAACACAUCUUUGUUUGAGACUCUGUCCUGCCAUAAGGUAAAGGAACCUAUGACCAUUAGGUCCAGUCGUGACCGACUCUGGGGUUGCGGUGCUCAUCUCGCUUUAUUGGCCAAGGGAGCUGGCAUACAGCUUCCGGGUCAUGUGGCCAGCAUGACUAAGCCACUUCUAGCGAACCAGAGCAGCGCAUGGAAAUGCCGUUUACCUUCCCGCCGGAGCGGUACCUACUUGCACUUUGACGUGCUUUUGAACUGCUAGGUGGGCAGGAGCAGGGACCGAGCAACGGGAGCUCACCCCAUCGCGGGGAUUCGAACCGCCGACCUUCUGAUCAGCAAGUCCUAGGCUCUAUGGUUUAACCCACAGUCCUGCCAUAUGAUGCCCCAAAUCUUCCUGAUGCAGCACAUAUGGAAGGCAUUGAGGCAUCGCUCCUGGCAGGUAUAAGUUGCCCAUGACUCACUUCCAUAAAGCAGCAUGCUCAACACGAAAGCCCAGUAGACCUUCAUUUUGGUAUUGGUUGUUAGCAUCACAUUCUCCCAACCCAUUUGGAGAGGCAAGCAAUUGCCAUAGCUGCCUUGCCAAUACAUUUCUCCAGCUCAGUGUCGAUGGAAAGGUUCACAUCUUUGUUGUUGUUUAGUCGUUUAGUCAUGUCUGACUCUUCAUGACCCCAUGGACCAGAGUAUGCCAGGCACUCCUGUCUCCCACUGCCUCCCGCAGUUUGGUCAAACUCAUGCUGGUAGCUUCGAGAACACUGUCCAACCAUCUCGUCCUCCGUCAUCCCCUUCUCCUUGUACCCUCCAUCUUUCCCAACAUCAGGGUCUUUUCCAGGGAGUCUUCUCUUCUCAUGAGGUGGCCAAAGUCUUGGAGCCUCAGCUUCAGGAUCUGUUCUUCCAGUGAGAACUCAGGGCUGAUUUUCUUCAGAAUGGAUAGGUUUGAUCUUCUCGCAGUCCAUGGGACUCUCAAGAGUCUCCUCCAGCCUUAAUUCAAAAGCAUCAAUUCUUUGGCGAUCAGCCUUCUUUAUGGUCCAGCUCUCACUUCCAUACAUCACUACUGGGAAAACCAUAGCUUUAACUAUACAGACCUUUGUUGGCAAGGUGAUGCCUCUGCUUUUUAAUAUGCCGUCUAGGUUUGUUUUUGUCCAUGGAGUUUUCUUGGCAGAGAUAAUGGAGUGGCUUGCUGGUUCCUGCUCCAGGUGGAUCACAUUUAGUCAAAACUAUGACCUGUCUGUCUUGGGUGGCCCUGCAUGGCAUAGCUCAUAGCUUUUCUGAGUAAUUCAAGCCCCUUCACCACAAUAAGGCAGUGAUCCAUGAAUAAUCUUUAUUUAAAGAGGACUGCCUCUUUCCAUAUGAACCUACCCGGACCCUGAGAUCAUCUUCUGAGGCCCUCCUUCGUGUGUCUCCUCCUCCAGAGGUCCGGAGGGUGGCAACACGAGAACAGGGCCUUCUCUGCAGUGGCUCCCUGUCUGUGGAACGCUCUCCCCAGGGAAUUUUUCCUGGCGCCUUCAUUAUAUACCUUUAGGCGCCAGGCAAAAACGUUCCUUUUUAACCAGGCUUUUGGUUGAUCCGAUUUACAUCCUUUUAAAAUGUGUUUUUUUGUGGGGGGGUAUUGGGUUGCUUUUUAAUUUUUAUUAGGUAUUUUGUGGUUUUAUAUCUUGAUUUUAUUCUGUGAACUGCCCUGAGACCCCUGGGUAUACCUUUUUAUGGUGAGAUCUGUGCUGGAAACAUUUGGGAAGUGCAAAAACUGGUGGAAAGUUAACUUCUGAUCCACGCCUGAACUGUGGAGGUGCAGAUCAGGUUGGCUCAUAUCAGGAUUCAUGAACGGCCAAUUCCUCACACAUCCCUGGAUCUAAUCCUCUCUAGCAUCGCGGCGGAAGACACCUCUGCUCCCCUGCGCACAUCACCUUGACGCUGGUUGCCGCUAACCGCUGUCUGUUCCCCACCUGCCUUCCCGGAGCAGGAUGGAGAAAAUUAAGGUUUCCAUUUAAGUGAGCAUGCGGUAGUAAUGCGAACUGAAAGAAUUCUGAGGCAAGCCAGCCUUGGGUUGAUCCUUUUAAACUGGUGUAAUAGCUCACUGCCGUUUCUUGGGGAAUAAACGUCAUCUGCAAUGAAGCUGUGGCAUUCUCUUUGCCUUCGAGCCCAGUAGUGAGAGCGGGAGCCAAGCACAGGUAUUCUUAGUGGGAGACACACACCACUGCGAUGAAAAUGGGAGCAACCUAUUCUGUAACCUCCAACAUUUCUCCGAUGGAAAUAGGGACAUCCUAAGGAAAAGGGACACAGGUGGCGCUGUGGGUUAAACCACAGAGCCUAGGACUUGCCGAUCAGAAGGUCGGCGGUUCAAAUCCCCGCGACGGAGUGAGCUCCCGUUGUUUGGUCCCUGCUCCUGCCAACCUAGCAGUUCGAAAGCACGUCAAAGUGCAAGUAGAUAAAUAGGUACCACUCCGGCAGGAAGGUAAACGGCGUUUCCAUGCACUGCUCUGGUUCGCCAGAAGCGGCUUAGUCAUGCUGGCUGCAUGACCCGGAAGCUGUACACCGGCUCCCUCAGCCAGUAAAGCGAGAUGAGCGCCGCAACCCCAGAGUCAGCCACGACUGGACCUAAUGGUCAGGGGUACCUUUACCUUUACCUUUAAGGAAAAGAGGGAUAUUCCAGGAUUAAAUCAGAAACCGUAAAUCCGGGACUGCCCCUGGAAAAUAGGGACACUUGGAGGGUUUGUUGACAGACCCAGUAUACCUGUAGGAGCGUCUCCACCCCCAUCGUUCUGCCCAGACACUGAGGUCCAGCUCCGAGGGCCUUCUGGCGGUUCCCUCCAUGAGAGAAGUGAGGUUACAGGGAACCAGGCAGAGGCCUUCUCAGUGGUGGCACCUGCCUUAUGGAGUGGUCUCCCAUCAGAUGUCAAGGAGAUAAACAACUUAAUUUUUAGAAGACAUCUGAAGGCAUCCCUGUUUAGGGAAGUUUUUAAUGAGUGAUAUUUUAAUGUAUUUUUAAUCUUUUGUUGGAAGCCGCCCAGAGUGGCUGGGGAAACCCAGCCAGAUGGGCAGGGUAUAAAUAAGUUGUUGUUGUUGUUGUUGUCUGUCCCAUAAUACUAGAAUGUACAGUCACCCGACAACUGCAUUACUGCAAUGCACUCUAUGUGGGGUUUCCCUUGUGUUUGAUCAGGAAGCUGCAGUUAGUGCAGAAUGCUGCAGCACAAUUGCUGACAGGCCUGGGGGCUUGUCAGAAUAUAAUGCCUGCACUGGUUGCUGAUUCAAGGGGUCACUGUUACUACUAUAAGUCCCACUAUAAGAGCCAGUGUGGUGACGGGGUGAGUUUGGUCCCUGCUCCUGCCACCCUAGCAGUUCGAAAGCACAUCAAAGUGCAAGUAGAUAAAUAGGUACCACUCUGACGGGAAGGUAAAUGGCGUUUCUGUGUGCUGCUCUGCUUCUCCAGAAGCGGCUUAGUCAUGCUGGCCACAUGACCCGGAAGCUGUACACCGGCUCCCUUGGCCAAUAAAGCAAGAUGAGCCCUGCAACCCCAGAGUCGGCCACAACUAAACCUAAUGGCAGAGGUCCCUUUACCUUUACCUUUACUAUGGUUUCCAACAACGGAUAUUCAAAAGCCUUACUGCCUCUUAGUGGUUAAGAGCAGCGUAGUGGUUAAGAGCAGUGGACUCGUAAUCUGGUGAACCGGGUUCGCGUCUCCACUCCUCCACAUUCAGCUGCUGGGUGACCUUGGGCUCGUCACACUUCUCUGAAGUCUCUCAGCCCCACUCACCUCACAGACUGUUUGUUGUGGGGGAGGAAGGGAAAGGAGACUGUUAGCCGCUUUGAGACUCCUUUGGGUAGUGAUAAAGCGGGAUAUCAAAUCCAAACUCUUCUUCCUUAGCAACUUGGGACCAGUUAACCCACAUCACUCGAGCACUUUGAUCAGCAGAAUUGGCACUAUUACAGGCUCUGCUUAAUGCCCGUUCCACAUUUGUAAGAACUCGAUUGUUCAGUGUGGUAAUGUCUGCCCUUUGGAACUCCCUGCCUAUUGAUCUCAAGCAGGUGCCUUCACUCUGCUCUUUUCAGCACCUGCUAAAAGCAUUCUUGUUCAAAUAAGUCAAUCUGGAUGCUUUGAAAGUGGAGGUCAUUUAAAUUUGUUUUCACUUUGGUAUGUUUUAAAGUAUGGUUGUGCUUUUCUCUUGAUUCUAUUGUCUUAUCUUUUUGUAAAUCUCUUUGAGAGUUUGUUUUAAUAAAUAAACAUCAAUAAACAAACAAAAACAACAUAAAUUGGCAUCACAUUCAAGACACACAGAUCACAAACUUCCUUUGCACGAAGCAUAAUUAACUUAUGCCAAUAAUUGCCCCCAAAUCCUGUAACAACUUUGAUGGGUUUUGACCAAAGAGCUAGCCACAUUCAUGGAAUCUAAUUCUGUUCCUGGACACCUGCCAUAAUAGUUCCUUAUUUAUCUAUUUCUAGAAAUAUUUCUAUUCUGCUCAUUCAUAACGAAAAUAUCAAGCAACCGCCUGUCAUGAAUUCAUCAGGAUCAGACCACAAAUACACCCGCUCACCACCAUAAGGCAUAUAUAUAUUUGUGAAAAUAAUAUGCACAAAUGCAUUGUAUUUGGGGGAAUUGCUAGCAAGAAUGGGUAGCCCAUUCAAAACUGGAUUUCUUUAAAAAUGUGUUUAUUAGGAGAAAUCCUAAAAUGCAAGUGAAUUUGCAUAAGGCUUUUUUUUAAACAAAGAAACAAAAACUGCAGAUUUCCGCAGAAAUGUGGAGGGCUUAAUUUAAGAUCAGAAGAAUGAGAAACAGGGAGGACUGAAAUUGAGAGAGCUGUCCAUUCCUGAGCAGAACCACAUGUUCAGAUUGCGGACUGCGUUCAUCCAGAGGCUGCCAGCCUUCUUCUGAGCUUUCAUCAAACUGCCAUUCCAAAUUCUUUGGCAGGGCAAGGGACUUAAUCCGUUACAUAAGGAUGCGCUUGGCAAAGGGGAGGGCUGCCUUUGCCACGCAGGGAAGGGAGAAGGCCAACAGCUCAGGGUACUGAAGCGCAUUCCGGAUCGCCGGCGUUGACCUAGUUUGUCGCCAGUGACAAAUUGUGACAAUCAAUGUAAUUGCGAGCAUUAUUGCAUUCUCUGCAAACCGAUCCCAUCAUUAAGACAAAUGAGUCCAGGAAUGCUGAGUCAUGUCACGCUUUCGGAACUGCAGCAAGCCGGUUCAUUGGAGAGGAUUGGGGAGUGGGGGGGGGAGAGAGAGAAAUAGAAGAAGUGGCCCCCUCUUUAAAUGGCAUCAUCACUGCCAUCAUCAGGGCCCCGAUCCUGCCCAGCCCAAAAGUCACCUUAUAAUUACUUGGAACGCAGCAUCUCUAGGAAUUGCUUGGAAGCUUGAAGAAUUCAGGCUCUUUCCCUUUCUCUUGUUUAGCGUAAUUUUGAUAAAUCACUGGCUUUCAUUAGAUUAGGACUCUUGGGCAAUACCGUUGGAAGGGGUCCCCAAGGGCUGUGUAGUCCAACCCCCUAUAAUGCAGUAAUCACAGCUGAAGAAUCCCAGGCAGAUGGGUCAUCCAAGCUCUGCUUAAAAUCCUUAAAAUAAGGAGGGUCCACCACCUCCUGGGGGAGACCAUUCCACUAUCAAACAGCUCUUACUGUCAGAAAGUUCUUCUUGAUGUUGAGUCGGAAUCUCACUUAUGAAGGAGCGUCUCCACCUCCAUCGUUCAGCCCGGACACUGAGGUCCAGCUCUGAGGGCCUUCUGGCGGUUCCCUCCCUGAGAGAAGUAAGGUUGCAGGGAACCAGGCAGAGGGCCUUCUCGGUGGUGGCACCCGCCCUGUGGAUCGCCCUCCCACUAGAUGCCAAAGAGAUAAACAACUACCUGACAUUUAGAAGACAUCUGAAGGCAGCCCUGUUCAGGGGAGUUUUUAAUGUGUGACAUUUUAAUGUAUUUUUAAUCUUUGUUGGAAGCCGCCCAGAGUGGCUGGGGAGGCCCAGCCAGAUGGGCAGGGUGCAAAUAAUAAUAAUAUGUUGUUGUUGUUGUUGUUGUUGUUGUUGUUGUUGUUGUUGUUGUUGUACCUUGAAGCCCUUGGUUCAUGUUGUGACUUCUGGAACAGCAGAAAACAAGUUUGCCCCACUGCCCUCUUGGCUGUACAUUGAAUCUGGGUUGGUUUGUUUUUUUUACCCUAAUUAAACAUUAGUCUCACCUCUGGAUCUGAGACGGGGCAGCUGGUCCCCAAGUUGGAUAGGGGUGGAUCCAAUGGCGUUGCAAUGGGGGGAUCGGUGCACCCUGGGUUCUAUGUCUGCAGGGGUGACAAGAAGUCACCCUGCAGGGGCUCGCGGCAGCAUAAGCAGCCAUUGCACCGCCACAGCCACGUGUGGAGAAUCCUCUGUUCGCAGUUUCAGCCGCGAGCAGAGGAUCCUGGCGCAGAUGGCAAAGCGCUAAGUUCAAUAGCGACGCUGCACAUGCGCUGUGUAGCAGUUUGCUGCCUGCGCCACUCCAGCGCCAUACGGACGGUGCCGGGAUCCUCUGCUUGUGGCUGUAGCAGUGACAGAGGGAUCCUGGCACCAUUCGUAUGGCGCUGGAGCGGCGCCAGCAGCAAACCGCUAUACAGUCAUACCCUGGGUUACAGACGCUUCAGGUUGCGUUUUUUCAGGUUGCAGACCACCGAAACCUGGAAAUACCAGAAUUGGUUACUUCUGGGUUUCGGCAGUCGUGCAUGCGCAGAAGCACUAAAUGACACUUUGCACAUGCGGAGAAGCGCCAAAUCGCAACCUGCCCCUUUGCACAGAUGCACCACUGCGGGUUGCGGAUGAUGCAGGUUGUGAACGUGCAUCCCGCAUGGAUCACGUUUGCAACCCGAGUGUCCACUGUACAGCAUCGCUACGUACAGCGCAUGCGUCAUACGUAGCGGCGCCACACAUUCUCUGAUGAAAACAAUAAUAAUAAUAAUUUUUAUUUUUUUUAAUACCCCGCCCUUCCUGGUUCAAAAACCGGGCUCAGGGCGGCUAACAACAAAUUUAAAACACUUGUAAAAGCAGCAUAAAAUACAGUAUAAAAACAUUAAUAACAAUAAAAUUCAAAAUUCAGAAAUCAAUUUAGGGGAAAUAAGCAUUAGAUAAUCCCCAGGGCUAGCUGGCUGAAUUGGUCCUACUUGGGCCAGUGAGGAGGCCAGGGGAGAAUUAGCUGUGGGGUCUCAGAGCGGGUAAUCUUCAUAAAAGGGGAGGGGGAGGGAAGAGAAGGGAAAUAAAAGAUCAGGCUGAAUUAAAAGUAAAGGCCAGGCGGAAUAGCUCUGUCUUACAGGCCCGACGGAAGGAGGUUAAAUCCUGCAGGGCCCUGGUCUCAUGGGACAGAGCAUUCCACCAGGUCGGAGCCAUCACUGAGAAGGCCCUGGCCCUGGUGGAGGAUAGUCUGACUUCCUUAGGGCCCGGGACCUCUAAACUAUGGUUAUUCAUGGACCUUAAGGUCCUCUGCGGGGCAUACCAGGAGAGGUGGUCCCGUACAUAUGAGGGCCCUAAG